GACAGCUUGAACUAGCACUAAUGGUCUCCUUAAAUAGGAAUGCUUGGAAAUGAAGAAUCCCCAAAUAGUUUGGCAAGGUUUGAUUGGUUAUGGUUUUGGUGAAUCUGUGUGAAACUAGUAUAUGACCAGAGGCUAUUGUCCUGAGGCUAAUGCCUCUCCAUUUAGAUUCUGUAAAUUCUUCAUGCCACAUGUCUCUAUCAAGGGAUAUAUUCUAAGGUAUAAUAAGUCUAUUGUCUAUAUGUCCUCAAAAUUUCAUGAAAGCUUUGUGAUGUUUUGCCUCCAUUAGUAUUGCCCUUCCACAUGUAUCUGAGCUCUGAAUAUUGUUAUAGCAGGUGUUAUUGCAAAUUAGUUUACCACCUAUUUAAGUCUUGUAUUAUUGAACUGUCAUUACUAAGAUUUAUUCUGUUUACCUUGAUAUUCUUUGCACAAACUUGUGCUAUUUACAUAGAUCUGAGCUGUUUGAGAUUACCUUUCCGCUUAAUGGCAUAUUUUAUUUUUGGGGAAUUUGGUUCUGGCAAUUAAUGUACUUUUAAACAUGUUUUUUUUUUUUAAAAAAUGUUUUUAGAGGUGUAAAGUUUAACUGUGAUGUCCUAAAUGUUGUUGAAAUGGUCAUUUAUUUAAAACCUCUAACAACUAGUGCUCAAUCUUUUCUCAAACAACUUCCAAAGAACGUGUUUAGAUAUGCCAAUUCCUAAUAUGCACCUACACUAGUGGAAUUGGUGUGUUAUAUCCAAUCUUGCAUGUGACAGCAAGUCCCAUGAUGCAGCUCAAUUCACAUCUUUGAAGAAACAUAUCUUUGGUGCUGCAGCUGUCCCCAUGUAUGCCAUAUUAUAGGUCUUAAGCAUGUAUUUAUUGGUUCCUGCAAAAAAAAAGAAGCUAUAUUGAUGAUUUUAUGAUGAUAUAUUUGGAUUUCUAUGAUGGAAAUUUAUUUUGAUUUUUAUUCCUCUCACAUGCUUUCGACUUCCUGUUUUUGCCCAGAUUAAUUUGGAAGAAUUUACUGAUCUCUGCAAUGCUAUUGCCCUAAGGUUUCAAAAGGAGCCUUCUGUAAGUCAAUGCUCAAUGCUGUUAAAAACAUGCAAAUAUACCCUUAAAGAGUAGGACUGAAAAAAUCAGAUUCCAUUCACUCUUUCUAUUUAUUUACCUGUAAGUAGCAUGCUCUCAAUUACUAGAUAUCAAUCUAAUCUCUAAUGCUUGGUGUAUGUUGGACAUUGCAGCCUUCAUGGUUUGAAAACUGCCCAUCUUUUUACCAUUCACCUCUGUGCAAGAAUUUGAAAGCUUUCGUUCGCAGCCCCAUGUUUGGAUAUGUUAUAGUUUUUAUACUUGUUCUCAAUCUAGUUGCUGUUGUUAUUGAAACAACGGUAAGCUUAUUACAACGAUGAGCUCUUUGUGUAAAUUUGUCACAAUAAUUUUUCUUAUUACAUUGUGCUACCUUUCUUAGCUACCCUCCUAUUCUAUUAAUCAUGAUCUACAAUACUUAGAAUUCGAAAAAGAUAAAAACUCAAAUAUUUUGGAGGUUUCUCUCUGACUAUGUCAGAUGAUCACAAGAGCAGAAAGAAUUUAAUGACAAAUUCAGUUUUUUUGGGUUAUAGUUCAUGAAUGCCUGGUUGAAUUCUAGUGAAAUGCAUGUCAUGAUCAAUGAUGUUGGCUCUUGAUUUAUAUUAUUUGAUAUGCAUUAUGCACUAUUUAUAUUGAUAAUGCCCAUGUCUACUCCACUCAAUGCAUGGAAGCAAAUGUUGAUCAUGACGAAUAGUGUGGGUUCUCUUUUUACAUCGAUUAUGCAUUUAUGUUGUGAUCAAGGUUCUCGAUCUUGCCAUUGGUAUUGUACCUGUCUAGUGCCAGUUUGGUACGAUACUGUAACAAUUAGGGUUCUUAGCACCGUCUCGAACCAAUCGGUUUGGGGCGUGCCGAAUCGGACCGGCGGGAAAUCGGGAUGGUUCCGACGAAGAAAAUGGCACACACGGGUGCUGGGGAAAAACGAGACAGAAACAGAGGCAGAGAGAGAGGAAGAGAGGGAGAGAGAGGAGGACGCCGUCGGAAGCCGGCAGUGGCCCUCUGCAGCCGUCGGAGGGUGGCAGAAGCCGCCAUGGCUCGGUUCGCCCGAUGGAGCUGCUGCAACGAGCGAGAAAGAGAGAGAGAGGGGAGAGACCAUCGGAGAUGGGAGGACGGGACGGCGAAGAGGCCGCUGGAGGACUCUGGGUGGCCGCCGUGGCCAUCUAGUGGUGGAAGCGGUACGGGUGGCAUCACGGUCGCGGAACAAGGAUUGUCGCCCCUGUUCACACAUGGCUCUUUUUUAAAAAAUGGGGAUUAAUAGUGAAGCCGGCAAAAUAUUUGCCGGCUUCAUUGUUUAAAAUAUUUUUUAAAAAAAUUAAAAUUAGUAAAGCCGUCAAUCGGAUUGCUGGCUUUAUUUUUUAAUUUUUUUUAAAAAAAAUCUAUUAAACAGUGAAGCUGGCAAACAAUUUGCCGUUUUCGUUUGUUUUUGUUUUUUUAAAAAAAUUGUGAAACAGGGGCGUCGCUCCUGUUUUAUGCCUGUGGCACUGCGCACGUGGACUGUGUCAUCCGGCGGCUAGCCAGAGGUCAUCCGACGGGCCCUCCGAUUCCUUCCCCUCCUUUUCUUUCUUCCUCCCUCUCUCUCUAUCUCUCUCUCUCUCUCUUUUCCUCUUCCCGAUUUCCUUCCUUAUUUCGGUUCACGUCGGUCCGAUCCGAUAUGGAACCAUACCAGACCGUGCCGCCAGCUGGCCGGAACGGUCAUCGGUACCGGUACCAAAAACCUUAGUAACGAUAUUCGAUAUGCUGAACGUAUCGGUAUGAUAUUUGUUUGCCUUUUCUUUUUAAUUUUCAUUUUUUUUGGUGAUGAUUAUUUUAAGAUCUAGGGAUCUUCAAAAUAUGAUGUUAAAGUUGUUUUAUUGUUAUUUUAUUUCAUAUUCGCCCUAAAACUAUAUGAUUGCUUGAGGGAUGCAUUUGUAAUGAAUAAAAAUAAAUAUAUAGUUUGUAGCUUGAAAAUACACGUAUAUUUGAAACCCAAAAAUAUACUGAUAUCUAGUCCCUGGCAGAGAGUCUAUGCCACUUGUAGAUCUUGGGAUCUCUUUCAUCGUUGAUGCCUUGGACUUGACUCCAAGCUAGAAACUAUGGCCAUCCUUGCAGACAAUAAUUUGGUUUUCUUGGAUAGCACUCUGAUACCGAUCCUCUUUUUGAUAUUGGGCUGGCCAUCUCACCUGUGGGAAGAUUGUAGUAGCAAAAUUUGAUUGGUGAUCUGGAUAAGGCUGUGGAGUGUAGUAGCCACAUAUUCAAUGCUUCAGAUGAAGAGUAUAUAUGGGUAUUAUGCUGGUUGUGCAAAAUAAGAUUCAAUGUGAUGAUGAUCCAUUGAUGUCUGGAGACCUGCUUCACAUGCUAUAUCAUUAGCUGCAACAAUAUGUACCCGUGCCAUGGUCCAUCUCAUUGAGCCCAUCUCCUAUAUGCUAUUAUAACCUCAAGCUUUACAUCGUGCUUCAUGUUCCAUAUCGUAUGUGGCAUGAGUGAAACAACUCACUGAUGAACGGACUUGGACCAUGUGGUUGCGAGUUGUAUGUACCCUUCCAUGUCGACUACUACCUUUCUGGCCACUAAGAAUGCAUUAUUGCCUGGAUUGUCAUAAGCAUUGUUACUUGUAACUCGAGGUGAUCUGGACAACAUGUCAUCUAAUGGCUCAGUGGUCUUAAAAUUUUGUACGAAGGGCUUCUCAUGAAACCUCUCAAAUGGAUCUUCAGCAUUCUCUCUUUCUUGCUACUAUGACGAACUGCUUUGCUUCUUGGUUGGCCCUGCCUAAUUGGUUUUGUUGGAUGGCUUGACCAGGCCCAUCAUCCUGAGGCCGUUCCUCCAUGGCUGGAUUGUGUGCCAGUGUCCUCUCCUCAGCAUUUCAAGUCGUUAUCUUAGGGUGUUUUCUGAUGUAGAGCCUUGCAAUCCCAACCGGUUCCCCUUGACCUUUGUGUAGCUCCUAUUGCUGGGCAUUGACUGGUUGUGAGUGUGCACGUGUUGCUUCACCUACUGCCCUGCAUUCACCUAUCUCUGUUGUUAUGAUAUUUGCUAGUCGAUGAGGUGAUUCUAGCUUAUCAAGCUCUAGCCUCUACUAGCUCUCAAGUCAAUCAAUCAUGAGAUCCUCACCAUCAUAUAUCAAGUGAUUAUGAAGUGGAUCUUCAUAUUUCAGCUUCAUCUCCUCACAGAUGCACUUCAAUCUGAGCCAUAAAAUGUAGUGCAUAUAUGCUGUCUUUCAUUCUUCUGUAUCAUAUGAUUUGUUCAGUUGCUGUGUAUUUUGUAGAAGGUUGAACAGUUGCACUCGUAGCCACCAGAGGAGACCAUCUGUGAGAGGAUCCGGAUUAGCAAGCUCCAAAGAUUUUUGGAUAACAACCCAAUAUGGAACCACUAUUCAACCACAAAUACAAUCAAGUAAAUUGCAUGUUAGACACUAUUUAUCGUAAAACAGUAAAUCAGUUAAAGUCAGUGUUAAAAAAUACCUGGAUUUAUAGUCUUUCUUGCCAUGACUACCUUGUCAUCAAAGCUAUGGGAGUCCUCCCUAAAAGCAUAAGUCUAUGAAUCAUGAAGCGCAUACCACUUAUGAUAUCAUAUAUUUUGUUUGAAUUAACAAAGUAUUAUUCCCGAUUUCCUGUUAAAUUUAACUUACCUCUUUGAGGCAUCUGGCAAUAUUGCGGCUCAAGCUCCAUCUUGAUGAUGUUGCACAAGGCAGUCCAUGGUUCCUUAUCCUAGUCUGUUCUUGGGACUUCAUAUUGGAACCUUACAUUGAGGUAGUAGGUUGUCAGGAUAUGUAAUUGAUUAAUUAUCAAAGGUUGCAUGAUAGUAUUUUAUAAGAAUAGACAGGGAUUGAGGAUUUUACUUGGAUUACCUACUAGAUGCAACUCCUUGCCUAUUUGGAAAUCCCACCACUCCUUAAUGAUGUUAAUAUGCUCAUUAGUAUGCUUCAGAUCCACUUGCUUGAUCUCGGUCUUAGUAGUCAUCAUCAUAGCCAUCUGAGGAUACUUCUCGCUGUCCACAAACUUUAACACUUGAUAUAGAGGUGCGGUUUCCUGAAUAGUGGCUUGUCACUAACUCUUCCGUAUGUCUCCUUUCUGUGCCACUAACCCUUGAGUCUUGGUUAGGGUGUCUUUCUUAGAUGUUGGUUGAUCAUAAUAUGUAGGUCUAAGAACCAAUCAUGUAAGGAAAAAAAUCAACGCCAGUUUAUUGUUUUCCAUUUUAGCACUACAAGGAGAUGUACAUUCAACUAAAUUUGAUGAUAUUUUGAUUUAGAUAAUGCAUACUGAAUAAUUUAUAAAUUACAGGCAAAAUAUUGCACUCAAGUAAGGAAUAAGUAGAUGAACUAGUACAUUGUACAAUGAGGAAACAGUUUGUGUUUAGGCAGGAAAUUCAAAAUCUGAUGUAAUUGUUGCGAAAUGAAAUGACUUGCAACUUGAACUGCUUUGGAGUCGAGCCAGGGCCAUAUGUCUUUUUUUUUUUUAAAUGUAGCUUUCUUCCUAUUGAUGUCUGAGAUUUGAUAAUUCUGAAUUUAUAUUUUAUGAGAGUUUACAUGCCAAAGAUAUGGUGUAUAUGUGUACUAUAUGCAUAGAUACUUUGUUGAGCUUCUAUUGUUGAUUCUUCAUUUAUUCCAUUUCAAUGGCUAGUUAUCACAUGCUUGUCUCUCCGUCAUCUGGAGUUUAAAAUAGAAUUUAAGAUCUAGCUUCAGUGACAACAUAUUUUGCCAUGGUUGGUGAUGUUUUUUAUCCUAUAAUAUUAAAUUGAUUAAAUUUGCUUUUUGCAGCUUGAUAUAGAGAACAGUUCUGCGCAGAAAAUUUGGCAACAAGUGGAGUUUUUCUUUGGUAGGGAUUUGAAUAUUUGAUAGACUUAUUAAUUGUCAUUUCAUUACAUGAAACCCCCCAAAAAAGUUCUUAGUUGGGCAAUUUAAGCUAUCAUUAUAGUUUCCUAAUCUUCUUUCAAAUGGGAAGUAUGAUCAGUACUAUGUAGAAAAUUUUGAGCCAUUGUGGACAAUAAUGUGAAAAAAUAAUGAAUAAAAAUGCUUCAAACUAAAAGCAUGAAUUUUCAGGUAUUACCUUGGAAUGACCCAAUUCACUUAAAAAGUAGCAAAUCAUGAUUCAUGGAUUACAAAUCUUAAGGAUACUCCUUAUGAUUCACUACUAUUGUUUUAUCGUGAUUCUAUAGAGAACAAUGGUCAGAAUUUUUGUGCCAAAAUUUUAGAGUAUUUAUUCUUUUUGAAUUGACCAAAGAUUCUUUUUCUGAAAUUUUUAAAAAAAAAGAAAUUUUAGAAGUUGCUUUUCAAUUUUGUAGUUAUAUAAUAUCACAUAGUUGGCAUGCAAUAUUUUGAUCAUGCCUCAUCAUAUGUUGGACGCUAAUUAAAUCUCGACGGUCUUGUAGGGUGGAUUUAUGUAUUAGAGAUGGCUUUGAAAAUAUUUUCAUUAGGAUUUGAUGCUUACUGGUUGGAAGGCCAAAACCGGUUUGAUUUUGUGAUCACAUGGAUAAUAGGUAAGCUCAAACUGACUUUGCAAGUCAAAUAUUACUAUUUUUAUUUUUUUUAAGGUAGCAAGAAUUGUUUUUGUUGUGCAUUUUAUUAUAAACUUCCUCCUAUGCAUCAAAUCAAGUUACAUAUUUUGUUUAUUAUAUUAGGUUUUAAAUCCCGUGGGAUGGGGUUGUCCCAAUUUGCCUAUGGAAUGGGAUGUGCCACUGUCCCAACACUUUCGAUAGGGAAUGCCUCAAGACAUGUCGAUCAGGAUCCUAGCACAACGGUGGGACAUUCCUGUCCCAACUCCCAACACUCGAGACAAUACCCCAUUCUGGUGUCCCCUAGGACAUCCCAUUAGAAGUUGAGAUCAUGAUCAUAACCACCAAUCUUGCCCCAACUAGUUGCGGUCACUUUUGUGCAUUCUUAUUUGCUGAAUAUUUGGACCACCUCUAAUGGCAAUUCGAGCAUUUUGGACAUCCUGUCAUAUCCUCCAUCCAUGUAACCUUAGGCCUUCUCCUUUGUUGCAUCCUUAAAUUAAAGGACAUGUUCUUGCUGGAUCCCUUCAGAUCUUUGUUGUACAUCCCCACAUUAUCUUAAUCUAUUCUCCAUCUCUUUGUCCUUAGUUUGUGCAACUCCUAGUAUCUCUAAUAUGUAUUCAUUUCUCACAUUAUCCUUUCAUCUUUUACCACACAUCUCAAUACUCUUAUUUCUGUGACACUUGUUUUCUUGGAUCUUUUUUUAAUGAUUCAACAUUCCAAGCCAUACAACAUUUUAGGCCCUAUUGCUAUUCUUCAAAAUUUUUCUUUAAAUCGCAUAUAUGCAUCAAUCACAUUUCCUAGAGGCACCUUUAUGCUGCAUCCAGCUAGCUCUAAUUCUAUAACAUAUGUUUUCAUCUAUAUCUCCAUUAUUUUGUAUAAUAGAUCCUAAAUAAUAAAAGUCAUUACUUUGUGGUAUAUUUUGUCCAUCAAUUGGACUCAUGGUCUCAUCUUCAUUUCCAUUUUCACUAAAAUUGCAAUCCAUGUACUUUGUCUUUGUAUUGCUAAUUUUUUAAGUCCUCAUCCUCUAAGGCUUUCUUCCAUAAAUCAAAUUUAGCAUUUAACCUUGUUCUUUCCUCAUCAACAACACCAUAUAAUCUUCAAAGAAUAUACACCGUUGUAGAUCUUGUGCUUUAGCAGUAAGGUUAUCUAUGGUUAGACACAAAGAUAUGGUCCAGGUGUUGAUCUUUGGUGCAGGCCUAUUGUGAUUGGGAAUGCAUUUGUCGUACCAUCAUAACUCUUAAAACUUGUCAAUGAUUAGAUUCUAAAUUACUCUUCUAAUUAAAAUCUUCACUGAUCAUUGCAUGUACUUGUGUACCAUCAUAAUCCUAUCAAUUUGUCAUUCAUUAGUAAUAUCCUCUCCUCUCUUGUUUUUUCAGGGUAGGGAGGAUCUCUCAGUUGCCUAUGGAUGAUUCCUUUUGAGUUUUGAAAUUUGUUGUGUGAAUUUUCUCAGGCAACUAAUGUAUGCAAAUCCUAUCGUGUGCUUUGAACACUCAAAACUUCUGCAUUUACAUCAUGCAAUAGCAUCUCAAUGCAGGAGAAUGAGGGAUUGAUUGUUCUCCUUUAACUUCCUUAGUGACUGUAUAAAUAACUUUGAGUGUAUUUUUGUGUAGGUUUUUGAAUCUAAUUAUUGUAGCAAUGUGCUUAACUAAGCUAGUGCAUUCCUUUAGAGAAAUGUUAUGCAUUGUAAUCUCUGUUCAGCACAUGUUUCUGGAGGUAUGCAUAAUGUUUGUUGUACUUGUUGCAGCUUUAACCUUUUCAUUCAUUGUAUUUUUAUCAAAUAUGAUGCUCAAAUAUUUAUAUACAGUUCUGGUACUUGAUUGAUGAACUACUUCAAUGGAUGUAAUUUGUGUUGCAGUUAUUGGAGAGAGUCUGACUUUUUUCUUCCCAUCUGAGCUUCCUUUUCUUUCAAAUGGAGAGUGGUAAUGUUUUUCUCACUCCAUGGUAACUCAAGUAUAAUCUUUGUUAUAUAAAUGAAUGAGGUGCAUUAGAUUAAUAGACAUGGUAUCCUUGACUCCAUGUACAAUUAGUUGACCAAAUAAAAUUAGAUUACUCAUCGUUUCAUCCCAUGCUUAUUCAGUAAGUGAUGGUUAUCCAGUCAUUCUGCAGCUCUUAGAUUUGUCGUGCAAUAACAAGAGCCAACAACAAUACAUCACCAAAGUAAGCUAGUAAUGGAAGAGACUGAGGUCUUCUGAACAAAAUUGUUAAACUUUAAAGGUAGAACAGUUCAUUUAUUUUAUAAUAAAAAGUGUUUUUUUGUUGGGGAGGGGAGGAGUGGGGGUGGGGAUUGAGAAGGUCAUAAGUGAAGGACUUGCUCAGUAAUAUCUUCUGUAUUCACAAGUUACUGGUGCUAUUUAGAGUAGGCAAACGGCAAACACGUGACAAUUGGUGAGUUGAUAACUUUUGGAAAUUGGAACUACUUGACAAGGGCAUAAUGAUUGCAUUCUCUACAUCCUAGAUCCAUCACUUUCAUGGAUUUGGGAUUGAUGAUAGAAAAGUAGACUCAUUACAGCCAUGAUGAUAAAAGAGUUUGUUAAUUAAAAAAAAAAAAGAUCUCAGUAGAAUAGUGGAUAGUAAAUAAGAAUUUUAUGAACUGAGAGAUCUGGAGGAAGCAAGUUGAAACUGGAGGAGCAAGUGUUAGAAUGAAUGUAAAAUCUCAUUAGGCAAUUCAUAUGAUAUAUGCAGGAUGCCACAUAAUUUUUACAUUGAAAUACAUACAAACAUGAGGGUUUUCUGUCUUUGCCCUUCCAAAAGGUGGACAUGGAGAAUAAGCGCUUGAAGGAGACACAUUUCUGAAGAAUUGUGAUGGUGCAUACCCUCCUAUUCUGCUUUUUUUUUUUCAUUUCCAUGUUCUUCCUUUUCAUAUCUGUUUCUCUCUUCUUCUAGUUGGGCUCAAAAGUCAUCCUCAUGCUCCUCUUAGAAAUGUAACAGUCAUUUCAAAAAUUUGUAAGAUUCUGACUAGACAAGGGAACCAAACUUCAUGGUUUGCUGCAAUAUAUUGGUAGUUUCGUCAUCACAGGUAUCAAUGUUUUUAUGCACAUUUGAUGAUUAGAUGUUCUGCAUCAAGAGGUGUAUUGGGAUAAUGGAUCAAACCUUGUUCAUCCGUUUUCCUUUAAGGAAAAUAUUGGGCUUUGCUAUAUCCUUUUUAAAAUCGUAUAGAGAUCUAUUCCUGCUAUUCUUGUACUGGAAAGGGAGAUAUCUUGCUUCUUUCCAAUCAGGUACCAUUGUUUUGUUGCUAGUGUGAGAACAAUUUACUUUUCUUUUGAUAUAUAAAUGAUAAGGAGUGGACAAAAUAAUUCCUUCUCUAUGCAUAAUAAUCUGGCCAGCAUAUGUAAAUGAAGGGAAUUAUCUCCAAUGGCCACAAUUUGUCAAGCUUUUUCACACUACUAAAGGAAGCAUGGAAUUUGAAGGAAGAUCCAAAUUUCAUACAUAUAAUGGAAAGAAGAAGCCUCUCAUGCAGUGUUCGUUGAACCUUACCAGUGGCUAACCGGUGUGGUUCGGGUGUUCAGUUCAGAAUGCCGGCAAAAAUAGAGUGAGGGAGAAGGAAAGAGAAGAGAAGGGAGAGAGAAAGAGGAGGGGAGGGAAGGAAAGAAAAAAGCCGAUGGUGGCCCGUUGAGGCUGUCGGAGGGCCGCCAAGGCCUCCAGGGCUCCCGAUCCUUUGCAAGAUGCCGACUUCCACUCCCUCCUCUCCUCUCCCUUCCCCUCUUUCUCUCUACUCUCAUUUUCUCUCGCAGAGGACCGUGGAGCUGUGAAGGCCUCGACGGCCCUCUAUGGCCACCGCCGGCGUCUCCAUCGGCCUCUCUUUUCUUCUCUCCCUCUUCCUCCCUCCCCUCUCUCUUUCUCUUUCUUUUCCUUCCUAGUUCAUUCAUCGUUUCCGUGUCGGUUCAGACUCGAUACGAGGGCAUACCACAUCGUACCAUCGGCCGACCAGCACAAGGUCUGGUUCCGAGUCGGUGAUCCUUGCUAUCAUAUUCGAAGUAUCUUUUUCAAUAAUAUGAUAUUCUUUUGCGUUGUCUUAGAAAUUUUCAUUAACUCAAUAAGGCAGAAAGAGGCUUUAUGAACUGUAGAUAAAAAAGCUAUUUGGUACUCGUGAUAUGCAUGACAAAGUGUCAUACCAGUGCCUUAGUUGCAUGUUGGCCGUGAUACUAUACCAAUUGUGUGCCAGUGCUUGGAAUGUAGCCAUGCCAAUGCAUGCCAGGCACUAGCAUCGCAUGGUACAACACUUAUGGGCCAUGCUAAUGCUAAGCUGGCAGGCCAUAACAUGGUAUGUAUUGUGCCAAUGGCAAGGUGGCACAUCAUUGUCAUGGAAUACAUCAGCUGAUAUUGUAUAUACUGUUGCAAUUGAAUAAGGAUAUUUGGAAGUUGAAUGCCUCUCAGCAACGAACUUGAUUGGCACAAGCAGCAACAAAAAAAAGAAACCAAUUAAAUUAAAUUCUGGCCGGGAUUAGUUUCAAUUUUCAAGUCCGUUUCUUUUUUUCUUUUUUAUCCUCUAUCAACUCCAGGGACUUUUUGGGAAGCUUUCUCAAAUCUUGAUUGUUAAAGGACUAUGAUGAAGAGAUGGAAGCACUUCAUGAAAAGUCAAAUUUGAGAAUUGGUACUGCUAUGUGGGGAAGUAUGUAUUCUUGAGUGUUGCUAGUUAUAUACUAUCAAGUAUGAACCGAACAUCUCUAUUCGAAAGUAUGAACCUUGGUUUAUGUCUAAGGGCUAUACCUAGAUGUACGGAGUGGAGUGCUUUGACUCUUCUCACCUUCAGCAGUGAUAAUGGUGAAUUCAGUUGAAUUAAACUUGACUAGCCUUUAUUUCAUCUUGAUGUGAAAAGUGUCUUGUAUUGAAGAUCUGCAUAAAGAGGUUUGAGUGGAUCUGCCUUUUAGCCUUCAGUCCUGCAGAAAUUGUUUAUCUAUUGAAGGAUUCCAUUUAUGGAUCAGAGCAGAUUCCAUGUGCUUCGUCAAACUCUAUUUGACUUUGGUUUCAAGAAGUCAAGUUAAUCAUGUGCCACUUAUUAAGAGCACCUGUUGAUCUGGAAUGAUCAAACAGAGAUAGGUGAUCCGGAAAAGGACUUAAAUGCUGCUGGCACGGUGCAUGCCACCUAGUGGCUGAGAUGGCAUGUGCCAUGCUGGAAUAUAGAAAAGGGACUCAAGAGCCCUUUGGCUUGGUUCCAAGUUGUAUUCAACAUGAGCUAGUACAGGUUGGUACUGCUCUAGCUACUUUCUUGGUACUUGGUACUGAUACAAUGAUGCAUGCUGGCACUAGCCCAGCAAGGGCCAGCACUUGGACCAUGGUUCUGAAAUAGUUCUAACUAGAAGAGAGUUGAUUUGAAAAGAUUUCAGACAGCUUCACGACUUUCAGGGGAUUGAAGCUCCCCAUUCUAGAAAAUGCGGUUCUAUAUAAGUCAUGAUGUAUACUCUUGAGCGCUGACCUCCUUGGAUACAUGGCUCCUAUAUUGUUAAGCAGUAGAGACACCUGUACGGCUGUACAGGUGAGCUUAAAGCUGUAUGCUGAUCAGGGAGAGCAUAUAACUUAUCCAGAGGUAGUGAAUGUAAUAGUUGCAUUCAAUGCUUGUAAGUAUUGUUAAUUGCAUGUGGCCUUUUUAUAGAAAGAUGUCAAAAAUGCAUUUCUUCACAACGAUGAUGGUGAGUAUUCUGUUUGUAACAUCCUAGCUUUCUCUGUCAUCUCCAUAUUGGGCAUCAGUGACAUGACAUCCAAUGUGGCUUUAACAAACCCAAUGAGUCAGUAAGCUAAUUUUAUAGGGGAGAUGGGAUCAAAGGGUUUUAUAUGUAAAUUUACUCUAUUUAUUAUACAAUUGCAAUUUAUUGAUGAUUUUCGUCUUUUUUAUUUUGUGGCAACAGGAUUCGUUAUCUUUUAAUUGCAAGGAUGUUGCGCUUGAUUAGGCUGUUGUUGCAUAUUCGACGCUAUAGAGCAUUUGUGGCAACAUUCUUAACAUUAAUUCCAAGUUUGAUGCCAUAUCUUGGGACCAUAUUUUGUGUUCUAUGUAUUUAUUGUUCCCUUGGUGUACAGGUAUGUUAUUCUAAUCAAACUAAACUAAUCUUGCAAUGAUAGAACAGAUAUACCUAUGAAAAAAAAAAGACUAUCAUUAAAGCAUUAUGCUUGGUUUAAGUAAAAGAAUAUUUGUCAAAGUUGUAGCAAUCAUCAGUUGAUUUUGCUGGUAUCAUGGAAACAAAAUAAUAUGACAGCUGAGAAAUGAGAACAACGUAAAACGAGUUAAGAAGUGUAAGUCAGACUAGAGAAGCAAAUUAACUAAAGUCAUGUAGGAGUUCAUAUUUUUAGGAUUUGACCAUAUUGAUGCCUAUGUAAUUUUUGGGGCUUGUGUGUUACAAAGUAGUAUGUAAAUGACUUUUUAUGUGGCAAAAUAAGCAGGUACCUAGUGGUUAAACCCAUCCAAUCAUUGGGGGAGGUUUAGGGCUAAAGCCUUGGGUGGUGCAUCCCCAAGGUCCAAUAAUUUACCUCGGAUCCCCCACGUGCGCGCAUACACACCUGCUGCCCCCCUCCCCCCCCCUAAAAAAAAAACAAAACAAAACAGAAACAAAAGAAGUAGCACCGGAGCACCUAGGACAUGUGACACUGCAUGGAUUGUUAGUCCUAGCCGCAUGGGUUGUAGGUCCUAGUUGCAUGGAUCGUGGGUCCAGUAUGCACAAAUCUUGGAAGUUGGAACCCACCAUCAAUUUUAUCUUGUUAGGAAAGUUAGAUGUUAGUUGUUAGUUAAUUCUAGACUGGAGGGUAGAGAAUUUUGAUUUUUGUGAACUUUUGAUGCUAUUAGGAAGGUUAGUAGUUAUAGUUCUACUUCUUCGUGUUAGAAUAGGACUUGUAAUCCUAUGUUGGAAGGUUGAAAAAAAGAAGCCCCUUGUACUACUUAUAAACAAGGACCAUCGAAUCGGAACCGGAGCUGGAGCCCAUGCCGGUCGACCAGUGGUACGGUUUGGUACAGAUCUGUACCAUUUCGUGCCGGGCCGAACCAAUAGGGCAAAGAAGGGGAGAGGGAGAAGAAAGAGAGGAAGAGAAGGAGAGGGGGGAGAGAGGAGAGGAAGAGGGAGAGGAAGAGAUGGUCUCCGGUGGCUAUCGGAGGACCUGAGGGUGGUCGAGGCCAGAGGAGGGCCUCUGCCCUCCUCUUGUGUGAAGCAAGGGUUCGCCCCUAUUUCGCAUUUUUUUGGCUUUUAUCGUGCAAAGUUGGUAAUUGUGUUGCCAACUUCAACCGAAAUUUAAAAAAAAAGGAUGAAGUAGCAAUCUAGUUGCUGAUUUCACGCGAUAAAAGAUAAAAAAAAUGUGAAACAGGGGCGAACCCUUGUUUCGCAUGGGAGGAGAGUGGAGGUCCUCCAUUUUCAACCGCCCUCAGGUCCCUUAGCGUGGGCUUGCUAGCCAUCGGAGACAUCACGACAGCUGCACCGUCCAUUCAGAGACCUCUCACGGCCUUUGGACAUUUGGUAAGACUCUCGUCCUCUUUCUACUUCCCUCCCUCCACCCGUACCGAGCUCAGCAAGAGCUCAGAUGGCCUUUGGCGGUCGCUGGAGGCUCUCUUCCUCACCCUCUCUUUCUCUUACCCCCCCACCCUCUUCCUCUCUUUCUUCUCCCUCCCUCCGAGACGGCCGCUGUGCUAUUUUGUACGUGGGAACCAGACUAAUUUCCCUCUGGCACAGUUGAAACUGUCCAAUUCGGGAUGGUUUAGAAAAUGAUGCUUAUAAAUUACCCCUGUUAGAGCUCUCUUGUAAUCAUAGUAGAGAUACUUGAGAUAUUGAUUAGUGGAGAUUUUAUCAUGAGAAUUAUUCCUCUUGAUUGGUGUUCAAUGGGGUCUAUUUGUUGGUUCGGAGUCUUAAGCCGAACCAGCAAAUCAAGUGGAACCUUGAUAUGACUCGGCUCGAGUUAGUUCCAAGCCCUCCUGUGAGAAGAAAAGGGGAAGAAGGUAUUAUGACACAUUUCUUUGUUCUUUUCUGCUGAGAAUGUGAAUGAAAGAGGAGGAAGUUGAGGGAAAUUAGGGGAGAAAGGAUUUUAUUGUGGUUUGGGGUCCCAAUCCAAACCAAGAUCUGGGUUAAUCCCGUCCUCCUCUUCAUUCUUCUCUUUUUCUCCCUCUUUUUUAUGACUAGAAUAGGCCAAAAAAAUUAAAAAAAGAAAGGGAAAUCAUGCCAAAAAAAAUUUGUAUUUUGGCAUGAUUUCAUGAUAUGUUAUAAAUCAAAGGGUGACAUACACAUUGAAAAAGAAAUCAUGAUUUUUUGUUGAUCAUGUAAUUUUUAGAUUAUAUUUUAUUUUAAACAUAAUUAAUAUAGUAUUAAAAAUUAAAAAAAAUAAUAGCAUGUUUGGGAGUGUGCAUGUUAAUUGUCUUUUGGUGGCUGCAACUUCUUUAAAUUUGGGCAUGGUUAUGACUUAUGACUACUAGAACCUAAGUCAAAAUUUAAAUAAAUACCAGGACUAAUAUGAAAUAAAUAACAAUAAGAUAACCUUAACAUAUCAUUUUUGAAGAUCCAUAAACCUUUUACCAUAACAAGAAUAUGAGAACAAAUAAAAAAUAAACUGGGACCAUAUAGGUAUGCUUUCAUAUGUUGUCAGUACAAUAUAUUACCAUACCAUACAAACUCGGAACCAGUCUACUAGACUGGUAAGGUGCUUGAUACCGAGAUUAUGAAACUUGGAUUUGUGUUUGUAAACAUUAACUGGAUUUAAAGUUGGGUUUGAUUUGGGUUGAAUGCUUCAACAACAUGACAGUUAUGAGUUGCUUUCCUUUCAACAUAGCCCAACCUGAGUUGGGCCUAUAUUUCUUCAACUUGACCUCACUGUUACAUGUCACAAGGUGACAGCCUAACCUAAAAUGACUCGACCCAGUCGAGUCCAACUUAAUGAUUCUGAGAUAUGUUGGGGGUUAGUGAUUAUGGAUUAGGUCAUAUUAGGGUUGUGCAGUUGGGUUCUUAGUUGGUUAGGAUGAAAGUUUAUGUGAAAUUGGCUUGGUUAUUCAUUAGCUAUUAGCGUGACACAACCCAAGUUGCAUCCUAGUCCAGUCCAUGCUUGUACCAGCUUGCUUAUGGUCCAGCUUUUGUAUAGACCAGUUCUACCAUCAGCCUUGACCAUUCAGGUACCUAGUUUGGCUAACUGCUACAUUACUUGACAAGAUUUUUGAAUUACAUUUAUUUGCUAUUGUCUGGAGUGUGGAGCUCAGGAAAUUAGGAAACCUAAAUGUCAUAUUAGUGUAUCUUGAACACUAUGCUAGUGAGAUUAGAUCUAUUUAAUGUUGUGGUUCAUUUAGCAUACUUGAUGUUCAUUAAUAACAUCCCUACGUUUUUAUGAGACUAUAUGGUCAAUGAGAAUAAAAUUUUUGGGGAAAAACUAUCUAAUGCUCAAGUUUUCCUUAAUGUAGUCGGUAUUCUUUUGAUGAGCUCGUUAUCACCCAUCUGCGGUCAGAUGUUUAGAAGCAGUGCCAACGGUUCUGUUUAAGGUUGUGUUUACAUUAGUGUAAAUGAGCAGCCUAAGCUGCACUUUAUCCAGAAGUAUGCAGUUCUGAGCAUUUGGUUUGUAUAUGUGACCUUUGAGCUUCAAAGUCAAGUUUCACAGAGGCAAAUGAAGCAUUAAAUGCUCCUUAAGUUAGUGUUACUUUUAAUGCUGAGAUUUGCAUUUCCUAUCAGCUAACUUCCCCCGAAACAAACAGCACAAUCAGUAAGAACACAGGUUCAUUGCUGUGAAACAAAUACUUGUAUAAAAGUCAAGUUAUUAGAAUGCAAGUCGAGACACUUAUGAUGUUUAAAUGUAAACAAAUACAUCUAAGCCUCUUUAUAACAUUUUAAUACUCUUAGAUUGCUGUGGAUGUACCAUUUGGUAUUCAUUAGAACAUAAAAACAACAAAAGCACCACCUCAAAAUAUGUUCAAUAACUUCUCAAAAAACAAAAUGAGCUUAUAAAAAGGAAAGAAAACAAACUUUCAUAGUUAUGAUUUACUUGGUUAAUACCAUAGCUGCUUGUGGAGGUGCUAAUUUAUCUAUUCUUAUUGCUUUCAAAUUUUGACAAACAAAUUUAUUAUUAUAUUAAGGUGAAUGUAGUUUGCUUGCAACAUUUCUGGUUGUGAAUUUCAUAUUUUUAUUUCCUGAUUAUUAUUUAAUUUAGAAAUGUUCCUCAUAGUCGUUUUUAAUUUUCAGCUGUUUGGUGGGAUUGUAAACUUUGGAAACCCGAAUUUGGAAGCAACUGAUCUUUUUGCGGAUGAGUAUCCUUAGGAUGAAUAUCUCGCAUUGCCCCCCUGGUUUACAUUGAGUCUUUUGCUUGCAUGACCUUGUACUAGAAUUGGCAUAUAAUUUCUCUAUUACAUGAUAUUUAGUUAUAUUAGGUAGACUGUUUUGGGUGAUUGAUGAUUCUCCUUAAUGAAUUUAGCUAUGUUCUUUUUAAUUUUAAUGACUACCCAAAUGGGAUGGUUACACUAUUCAACUUGUUAGUGAUGGGAAAUUGGCAAGUCUGGAUGCAGGUAUUAAAACAUUUAUGGUUUUCAUUUACUAAAAUGCCUUCUGUAUGCUUUAAUUUUUUGGUUUCAGUUGUAGAAAAGAAAAUAUUUGCAUAAUUUUGUGACUUGGUUUAUACUUAUUUAGUUAUUGACCAAAUAUAGAAAGGUGCCUUUUGGCCCUUUGGUACUUGAUUUUACUUUUGUCUGGAAACUUGAUAUUAUCAAGUGGAUCAGCUGAUUCACAUUUUCUACACUAAAAUCUCUUCAAUUUACUAAAAGACUGUCUCCAUUUUUUUAGUAGUGAUGCAAUUAAAUCUUCAUAAGAAAAUAUAAGAAAUUGUCUGGUCUUUUAAAGAACUAAUAGCAGUAAGCUUUUGAACUCUGAGUUAAAGUAUAGAAAUUUAGAGCUAGUCGCAUCGAUAUGGCCAUGUUAGUCUAAUAAAUUAUGGUGGUUAGCCUCCCCUUAAAAUUAUAUUAAUCAUCUGUUAAUUAAUAGAUAUAUAUGAACAUGUGCACCCUGAUUUGCAUGGAUAAAAUACUUACAAGAAUAGAACAAAACAUUAUUCUUUAUUCUUUUUAUGUUUGUUGUUACACACAUAUUUCUCUUAUUAAUUUAUUAUUUUUCAUGUAUAAUCUUAGUUAUGGGCUUUUAGAAGAUAACUGGGUGGAAUAGACACUUUUUUCACAAAGAGAUUCAGUUAAAAUUGUGCAUUUUGCUGGUCUGCCUACAUUAAAUACGAGUCAGCCAGUCACUUAGUUUCCUAAAGUCCAUGCUAGGUGUCUAGCGAAGGAAUAUGAUUUGGUUAUAGAUGGAUAGGAUGGCACAAUCAAUUGGAGUUUAGGAAAAAUGUUCAAAUUAUGAUGCAGAUCUUGGAAGGGGGGAACGAGCACUUGUGGCUAGACCUAUGAUGGGGGAAUGGGAAAUUGGAGUCAAUUGUCAAAUGCGGUAGAAGGGUUAGGAGAAAAAUGAUGCAGAUGCAAUGUCCGUUGAUGCAAAUCUUGGUUCUGGUUUUCGUCCCCUUGGGUAGCAUUCAGCAGUUUCAACAAUUUCGAUGGUUUUGCUCUGAGUGACAAUCCAAAUGGGACUAAGAGGUUCUGGACUUAACAAAGAUAUCAUCCAUGUAAUCCUCCACGUGAUCAUGCAUGAGGUUGUGGAUGAUUGUUACCACUGCUCAUCGAUAGGUUGCCUUGGCAUUCAUAAAAUCAAAUCAAGUUAUUUAACAUAAAUUUUAUUUUAUUUUGGCUUAUCUAGGGUCAUAAUCUUGUAUUGAGGCUACAUGCCUUUAAUAUAUCACAUGUAUAUACCAAUUUAUCGAAGACUGACAUCAAAUAUCACAUACUUAAACAUAGACUUAAAAACACGGGUGGAGGAGUAUAGAAUUAGUUACAUUUACAUGUUCAAUGCUACAUAUUAUUGUAAGGUAGGUCAUGCAAAUAAUGGUGAUCAUUAUCAUCAUCAUUAUCACAAUUCACAACAUUGAUGGGAAAACUGAUGGGUAUGAGGAUGGCUGUUGAAAGGGAAGUCAAAAGUAUAAGUUUAUGAAAUAAUUCCUGGUAAGGUACUGAUAUUUGAAAAAUUUUAAAACCAUCAGUAUGUAUGUAUGUAUCCCAUUCUGUUUGAAAAAUUUAAAAACCAAAUCCCAUACUGUUUUUCCAUCAGAACUGCGCCGUGCGACCGGUAUGGACUGGUAUGGCUGGUCCAUAGUGGUGUGCAGUGCUGGUUUAGUGCCGCAAUGGUAUGGUUUGUCCAUCUUUUGUGUUAUGCAAGUUGUAGCAGAUUUCAUGAAUUUGAAUUUUGGCACAACUGUUUUUCCCGGAGAAACUAAGGACGAUCUUUCUAUUCAGAGCUACAGGGAUCUCACAGGAACUUCUUGGACACUCGUUUACUUCAUCAGUUUUUAUCUUAUAACAGUACUACUUCUGCUUAAUCUGGUGAGUUCUAUAUAACGGUUUUCUGUAAUUCUUUAUAAAUGCAUGUGCUUGGUUGAAGACAGCAUAUAUAAUUACUAUAAUUGCAUUCUAUGAUGUUCAACAGGUGUAUUUGUAAUACCUGUUUUUUCUUCACACAAGGAAAAUCAAUUUGUUUGUUUGUGAGGGUAUUUAAACCGCUAGUUCAAUAAUCUGCCAACCAAUUUUGGUAGUUUGACAUGAUUUCCCAAGUGACAUGGCCAAAUAGUUGUAGCGGAUGUAAACAUUUCAUAUGUGCCAUUUACUUGCCAUUUUAAAUCAUUGUUUCAUAGAUUUUCUUUAAACAUUCACUUAGUAUUCUGAUCAUUCUUACCUUAAAGCUUCUUUUUGUACUGUAAUUUUUAGAUUUCUGAUAUCACUUGAUGAUUUUGGUUCACUCUUUAUUGCGACGGAACUUUUUUCAUAGUGAAACCUCUUUUCUCAAGACUAAUACAUACUAGUACAGCCAGCUGGCCAAAAUCAGCAAAUGCAUGCUGCGCCUUCAUAGUUAACCUUCUCUCUUCCUUUUUUCAUAUCAGUUCAUCGAAAGAUUCAGCAAAGCAUACUCCCAUCUCCUCUUUUAGCUAAAUCCUUUUCCUUCACCUCCCUCAAUGAUUUCACUAUAUCUCAAACAAAUGGAAACACCAACUACAGCAAUUUCCCUUUCAUUGAGAUUCCCAUGUAAUAUAAGACUCCACAUGCUCCCCCCCACCCCGGUAUUUGGGAACUACACACUCUCUCUCUUGGAUUCGCACACAACAUUUUUUUUUUUUGGCUAAUUGUUCCUUUUGAAGCCAUGUCCAUCAUGUUAAGCAUAUUAAUCAAGGUUUUACAUUCCGGUGGAUUGGGGGAGGGGGGAUCCCGACCGUAAUAUCCCAUUCCUACGAGAAAAUGGGACUAGGAUGGGGUUGGCACUCCGAAACCUGUUCAUAUGGAGAGAGAAGAAGAAAGAGGAAAGAAAGAAAGGAAGAUGAAGAAAGAAAAAAAGUAGAAAGAAAAGAAGAAGAAAAAUGAAAGAAAGAAAGAUAGGGAGAAGAAAAAGAAAGGAAAGAGAGAAUAAAAAAAAGAAAAAAAAGAAAGAAAGAAAGGUAGAAAAAAAUGAAAGAAAAGGAAGGUAGAAGAAAAAGAAAGAAGAAAAGAAAAAAAGAAAGAAAAUAAAGAAGAAGGAGAGAGAGAUAGAGGAUAUCUAUCGUGAUGCAUGCUUGGGAUUGCUGCUGAGACGGGACAGGAUAGUAAGACAUCCAGUUCCAUGGAGAUAUUGAGAUGCCUCUGUCCCACGAGAUUUCAAACAUUUCCUUUACCGCUUUCAUUUCAUUCAUGUUACUUGUCCCCCAAUUUUUAUUAGACUUUUAUUCACCAAUUUAUAUGAUGGACAAUUUGUGAGCAUCUUUGGCUUAUAAUCACAUAACCAAAUAAUAUUCCAUUACAACUUAUGACAUAGCAGCUAUUUUGCUUCCUUGGGCAUACAACCUGGUGUUGUCAUUCCAAGUGUUGUAAUUCAUCUAUGCUCCAUGUUCAUCCAGUGCGUUGAGCCAGCCGUCUUGAUAAUCCCAUUUCUGCGAUACUCAUCACAUGCACAUCUUACCUUGCAUGGUCUACCAAUCUGGUUUGCACAAUUCAUCUGCUCCAUCCGAGUAAUGCUCUAUAAAUACUCUCAAACAUGCAUGUGCAAUGCAUGUUGGAAAUACAUCACAAUAAAUGAAAGGUAAUAUGGAAAACAAAAUUGGUAAGAAUAAAUCUUCUCAUAAAUUGAAAGUUUAGAGUAGUAAAAUCUAAAUUUGUUUUAGAUUGAUUGUUAAUAUAAAAGAUGUUAUUUUGGUAAAGUGGAAAGUCCCCUAGAAUCCUAAAUAGAUUUGGAUUUUUCUAAAUCAGAUUUUAAAUUUCAAUUGUAAAUGGAGAUUAUUCUCGACUCAAUUCUAAAUUUCAUCAGAGAACAAAAGUUAUGGUAAGGUUGUGACAAUCAAUAUUUGGGUUUUUCUAGAGUUAAAUGGAGUACAUUUUGGGGAGAAAAAGCGACUGGCAAAUCAAAUGGGUUUUUAAUAUAGCAUAAAUAUGACUAUUUGAUAGGACCAAGACAAGUGAUACGAAGAUUUUGUUUCUAUCUAGUUACAUGAGGAACUAUGAACUGAAUAUGAGUUGAAAUGCUUUUAAAUGCAAACAGGCAAGGUUUCUAACUAGGUUGUGCAGAAGGUGUUGCAAACUGUCAUUUAGUGUAAACAUCAUAUAUGUGAUGGUUUGAAAUCCAGAACAUGAAAAUUUUAUGAUGGUUGAAACUAGAAGAGGCUCGCAACUGCAUUUUUUUAGUAGGGUAAAGUCAUUGUCUCUUUAUGAUUUUUUUCAUAUAUCUUUUUCCCCAUACGCCGUGCUAGAUUUGGACAAAGUUUAUCGGCUAGGCUUUUAAGUUAAUUGGACCAUUUUCAAUCUGUCUUCCAUUUCAAAUUUAAGUGGUCUCACAAAGCUCUAUUCUAUAUUCGCUAGUUCCUUUAAAACUACACUAGGAUACUAGAAGUGGACAUUCUUUCUCCUUUCCAUAGAGGGGAAAUAUAUGAACAUGGAAACUGCCAGGUGAUCUUUUAUUCCAUUGAUUCCUUCUUUAAGAAGAAGUGGCACUGGAUAGAAGUAUCAAACUUUCAUUUCCUGAAAACUCACAUCAAGUCCUAUGUAAAAGCAUAAAAUGUAAUAGCUUGAAGAAGCUGGGUUGAUUUAUUAAUUGGAUCUUUUUGCCUUAGGCUUUUAUUUAAGAAGGAAUGGUACUCAUAUUGCCUUUUUCUCCUAGUUUUUAUGCUAGAUCUGCCUUCUCUACAAAUGCUAAUGGUCAUAUACUUAUCUCAUGAUCUAAUUAGAACAAUGGCUGUACAUAUUGUGAAAACUAAGGUGAUACUUUCUCUAUUUGGCCUCUCUAACCAUAUCUAGUUAUGAGACUUGCGGCAACAGAACUACAUUCUCGGGUAACGAAAUGCUGAUUCUUUUGUUUGCAUGACUAAGUUACUAACAGAUAGACUUGUUUGAAAGUUCAAAAGUAUUUACAAAAUGUCUGGAUUUUCCAUGUGGAAGUGACUUGACCCUUACCUUUAGCCCUAGUCUGUAGUUGCAAGAAGACAAGAAAUUUUAAGUCAAAUUAUUUGUGUAUCUGCUUCAAAGGAAAGUUGAUAAAGCUGUCCAUUUCCAGGUAAUUGUUGGUGAAUGAAAUUAAGCAUUAAUUUCUGUUUUGUCAUUUCAGGUUGUAGCAUUUGUUCUGGAGGCAUUCUUUGCUGAAAUGGAACUUGAAACAACUAGUGGAUCUGAAGAAGACAAGGUUUGUGCAUACUUUAUUAUUAUGAGCCUCCAAGGAAAAAAUUUGGUCAGAGAACCUUUUUCUUUGUGUCAUUCCAUUAGAGAGUAAUGCUUGGUCUGUCAGACAGAUGAAGAACAAGAAAUCAUCACCUGAUGCCUUAUCUAAUUAGUUACACCUUAUUCUAUCAAAAUAUGACCUCAUGUUAAUAUGGAUUGCAAAAAAUAGAAUCUAGAAAUGCGUCCGUUCAACUGUUUCUAAAGGAACACCUCCGACAUGUAACUUGAUUUCUAAUCUGCAUUGUUACAUGAUUUUAUAUGCAUAAUAUAUACAAGUGCAUGGAAGGUUUAAAAAUGCCAAUACGAGACACCUUACGUGUUCUAAACCAGAAAGGCAUGGUACUGUACGGGUACUGUUAGGAGACUGGGUACGGGCUGAAAUGGUUAGUAGUAUCAACAGGGAUAAACAAGGAAUGGUAUGUACUGACUCCUGAUGCAUCUUGACUAUUGGUACGCGACUGUGUUGUACUGGUUCCACCUACUGCAGCAUCCUGCACUUACUACUAGUCCCAUUUUUCAUCAGAACCAUUCGUUACCAUAAUUACCAUCCUGUAUGAAUGGUAUUUGAAACCUUGGGUGAUGGAUUGCCCCAAAUUUCCUUGGUACUUAAUAAGAAAAAGUUGUCAGCCUCUUACUAACAAAAAAAAUUGUGUUGAUUCCUUUUUUUGGGAAGAAACACCUCAUUAGUUACUUUUAUAUCAUGUUUAUGUGUCAUGAUCCAUUAAAUUUUGAGUACAUCUUAUGUGCAGCUGUCAGCUGGAUGCUAAUUUUCUAUGAACUGAGUUUGAAUUGUGGGCGAAGUUAGUUGUUGGCCCUCAUGGGCCUUGCUAUGUAACUUUGUUUAAAGCCAUGCAACUAGGGAGCAAACCUAAGGUACCGAUACUGGGAAAGUACUUAGAAGAUGAUGGCAGAAGGCAGGGUCAUGUUUAUUGAACUACAUGUAAAAUACAAAUCAUAAACCAAAGAGCUAAGUAAUACCAUUAUCUUCAUUCUAAAUGAAACAUAUUAAUAAAGUAAAAAAAAAAAUCUCUUAAAACGUAUACUAGCAUAAUGCCAUUCUUUCCUGAUAAUUAUCAAUUUUAAGUUACCAUAAUUUUCUCCCUUUUUUUGAAAAAAAAAAAAAGGUUUCCUCCAGAAAACCUAUCAGCUGUUGGUGUUAUUCAGUAUUUAAAAUGAAACUUAUCUUCCAAAGAUCGUUGCAUUUAUGUCAGUUCCAAUGAGGGCAUGGUGAAACUAUUGUUAGAAAGUUCUACCUAUUAUUUAGUGAAAUAAUACUAUGCUUGCGCAUCUAGGCAAAUUACCUUUUAACAAUCAAUAUUGUAGAUAAUUAUUUUCUUUGGGUUUCAUAUGAGUGGUUCCAUAUGGUAACCUUUCUGAUAUCAUCUUUGUUCUUUGCAGUGAGUGCUUCUAUGAUAAUUUGUUGAGUGUAAGAGUAGGAUCUUACUUCAAGGACAUAUUUUCUGGGGUUUGGAUGAAAAAGUUAGUGCGUAAAAACAUUUUUUAUGACUUUGCUGGGUCUCAAGUAGAUAAAUUGUCAUGGUUAUAUAGUAUACAGGUAUUAUAGAUUGUCAUGGUUAGAUAGGACACAGGUAUUAUAGAUACCAUUCAUCCCUUAUUUUGAUGUCAUCGUGUUUACAUGCACAAGAUGUUGACAUUGAACUGUAAUUGGUCAGCAAAUAAGAGAGCAGUGUUUAUCUAUUGUUUUCCAGCUGAACUGCUUAUUCUGUAACAUAAAUUGGUUUUACCUUCUCCCUUCUACAUUUUCUGUAACACCUGUACUAGUGUCUAUGAAUUUACUUUCUUGUUUCAGGAUGCAUCUCGAAAGGACCGACGCAGAUGUGUCGGGUAACAGUCUCAUACUUGGCAGUUUAUUGUGUAGAUAGAUUAGUUUAUGUCCAGUAAAUAUGACUAUCCUUGUUAUAUUUUGAUUCAGUGUGAAGACUAGGAGUCGCACCGUAGACAUUCUUCUUCAUCACAUGCUAAGUACUGAACUAAGCCAAACUCAGAGCUGUAAAGCAUAGUUCUACAUCUACAGGGUAAUAAGAGCCUCUAUGUUGUUCCUGUUCUCUCUUUUUCAAAUAAAUCAUUUAUAUAUGAUCUGAAAAAUCAUGUUAACAUAUUUUUAUUUGGAUUUGUGUGUUGUCAGGCAGUGUUUCCUCUUUUAUUAUGGUAAAUGUUUGUCACACUUAUUUGUUUCAUGCACGUUUUCUUGAUUCUUUUAGAGCCCUGCACAUGAUUCUGUUGUAUUUUGGGGUGAGACUGAGGUGGAGAUCACCAUAGCUUUAAUAUGCCACAAGGCUGCCAGACAUCAAAGUGUGUGAACAACAUAUGCUUAGAGUCCCCUUUUGCCUUAACUCCUCUUGGACGCUAUAAGUCUAAAUUUGUGGGAGGUGGGGAAGUAUGAAUGUGCAAGUACACACGCUGUAAAUGGUUUUGUGUUAAAUUAUGCAGUUUUGUCCAUUAUGAGGGUAAAAGUCUUCCAAAGGAGCACCAUGCGCAAAUCAGAAAAGCUGAACGUAGGCUAAAGAAGUGCCUAGCGUCCCAGUAAUGGUAAAGAAAUUUCCAAUCGUCCCAGACAAUUAAGUUCGUUGUUAGAUUAUUGGCUACAAUCUAGACAGAAGUUGGUCAUUGUACAUAUUUUUGUGUAUUAAAAAGAGUCACGGAUCUUAAAUUAUUAGAAUAUCUGGUGCGGACAUCAGAGCCAUCAGGAGUCGACGAUAUGAUUUAGAUUCGAUUUGGAUUGAAGAAGUCUCGUUAGAUUGACUCUAGUUCAGUUAUUUAUUUUCAGUCAAUAAAUUUUUGAUACAUUUAGCUUGGAAUCCAUAGGACCAUACUUAGGUUUGUAUUGGGUUUGUCCAUGUCAUUUUCGGAGCCAUCACUCUCUACACGUUCACUCUCUACACGUUCAGAGAAGAAAUAUGCAUACCAGCAUAUGCCGUGUUCAAGGAUUCAAGUUGUGCCAAGCAUCAAGCAUCCAUAUGGAGUUUCAUUUCUUAUUUUGUUGAAGGUUGAUUGUUUUUUCAUGGUAGAUUAUUUUAUUUGAAAAUCAGACAUAAUACUUUACUUUUUUAUAUGAGAGCUGAUUUCUUCCUUAUAAAAGAUAAGGAAUUUUUAAAGAAAUAAGACUCCUAGGGUUCUAUAUAAAUUUUUGUAUCUUUUACGAAGAGAGCAAUGAAUGAUUUUAUAAAUCUCCAAAAUACUUGUGUCAAUCGCUCCGAGAGAGGGAGGGUGUGACCUAAAAUCAUCUCACAAGGGGAGGGUGUGAGGUCCACUUUCUAUCUUAUCUUUUUAAUCUUCAUCUAUUUGAGAUUCAGUAUUCCUACGAUCUCGAUUCGACUCCAUCUACCCACGCAAGUCUAUCUCAUCAAGAGAAGAUCUGUCUCUUUCAAAAUUUUCAUCUAUUGUGCUGAGAGAAAAGAGUGAUCUUUUAUUCUACAGAUCAUAUGCUGUUAAAUAUCUUCAUUCUUUCUCGGUUGAUCUUUGAUUUUCAUUUUUUUGUUAGAUCCGACGUUAAUAAAGGCCUAGUUCUUCGAUGGAUCUAUUUGGUUAAAGAUUAAGAGUCUUAAUCAGAGUAGUUUCUUAACUAUCAUGAUUUGGAUAUUUUUAUCAUCUUCUCGGAUUUUUCAUGGAUUUAAUGUUUUAUUCUCUCUCAUUCUAUUCAUAUUUUUUUUGCAUUUACUCGUGAGUAUGUUUAAUUUCUGCUAUCUAUUUAUGGAUUUUUUUAUNNNNNNNNNNNNNNNNNNNNUGCUAGUUAUUUACUGAUCUCUAGAAUGACAUUCAUCUGCAUCAUUUAGAUUGAUCUCGCUUUAGUCUCGUAUCAAUCAAUCACGCCUUCUGAGUAGAGUAUAGGCAACUAUACUGUCUGUCCUGAAAAUAAUGAUGUCCUUGAUCGGAUGUGAUUUAUUGUUGAUGAACAGAAAGGAGCUUGAUCAUUAGGAUUGAUUUCUUUCUCUUUUUUUUAGGGUUGUCCUGCAUCAAUUUGGUAUCAAAGCCAAUUGAUUAGAGCUUUAGUUUAAAUUUAACAAUUUAAAUUUCUGCAAGUUAAAUUUUCGUACUUUAAAUUUCGUAAUUCACUUUCAAGCAUUUUAAUUUUCUUAUUGCAUCUUAUUCUUGCAUCUUAGAUUUGCAUGAUCACUAGAUCAAAUACCUGGUACCAACAUCCUACUCCACCCAACAUCAAUAUGGAUCCCAAUACAGCAGCCAUCAUUAAUGCUCUGAGUGAAAAGUUUGAUGACAUGAAAAAUUUUAUGAAAGCCAUGAAUGAGAGAAUAGUAGUAUUAGAAGAAGCUAAGUAGAAACAACCUGAACUUGAGUCUCUCGACUGUCUGUAGGACAGAGGUAGGAAUUUAGAAUUUGAUCGACCUAUAGAAGCACGUCUGCAUCAUAAACAGUUCGACCAAGAUGAGCAUAUCUUUAGAAAUGUGAAGGUCGAAGCUUCAAGUUUUGAUGGUUGUCUAAAUCCGAGAGAGUACCUAGACUGAGAAUCAGGCAUGGACUACUACUUUGGAUGGUACGAAAUGUUUGAAGCAAGGAGAAAUAGGUUUGCUAGGAUGAAGUUGGUUAGGCAAGUCCGAUUUUAUUGAAAAAAUGUUGAGCGUCUUCUCAACCAGAAAAGACAAGACCUGAUAGAAAUUUGGGAUAAGAUGAAAGAAAAAUUCAAAGAGAAGUAUCUCCCCACCUCCUACCAACAAAGACUUUUAGAUCAAUGGCAGAGGCUUACUCAAAGGAAUAGAUCAGUCAUUAAGUAUGUCACGAGAUUUGAUGAGUAUCUCAUGAGAUGUGGAGUAGCCGAAGAUAGGGUUGUUAUCUUGUCUAGAUUUAUAGCUGGAUUACGCGAGAAAGCUCUUUCUACGAGAGGUGACCAUGUUAAAACAAGCUUAUCAACUUGCCUUAGACUUUGAGAGAUUCUUUAGAUAUUCGACUCUCCGUCGUCCUGAACCUAAUUGAGUAAUUUUUUCUGGAUCGAGACCCAAUAUUAAUCAAGCUCUUAGUAACGGACCUCCAUUUAUAAAUUCUAUUGGGAGAAAAGAAGAUAAAGGAAAAGGAGCUAUAGGAGAGUUAUCAAAAAGUAGUUCUCGAUCUCAUUGCUUCAAGUGUCCAUGAUUACGGUCACUUUGCUGUACAAUGCUCCAACCGAUCAUUAUUCGUGGAAGAAUUAGAAGGAGAAAUCCUAGAAAAUAUUGAGGAGGAAGUUUAUGAAGCCGAUCCAGAUUUAGUCGAGCAAUUUGAGAGUACUGAGGACAUUUUGGAUUAUGUUGCACCCGAGUCAGACCUUAGGUUUGGAGUCAUUAGAUAUAUUCUAGUACAGACUAGGAAAAGUGAAGAUUGACGUAGGACUUCUAUUUUUCAUACCUUCAUAAAAUUUGACGAUAAAAUUUAUAAAGUGAUUAUUGAUAGCGGUAACUGUAUCAACGCCAUCUUCACCGAUAUGGUUAAGCGAUUAAGAUUAAUUCCUGUAGAUCAUCCCAAUCCAUAUUGUGUAUCUUAGAUAGAUUCUUCCUCUAUUCUCAUCAAAUUUAGAUGUCGUGUGCCCAUCCAGCUUCGUUCCUAUCAGGAUCAUGUGUGAUGCGAUGUCUUACUUAUGGAAGUCGGAAGUAUCAUAUUAGGUUGGCCUUGGCUAUUCGACAAUGAUGUUACGAUUUAUGACCGAAUCAACUCCUGUAGCUUUAUUCAUCAAGAUAAGAAGAUCACGAUUAAUCCUUCUCCAUCUAAAGCUAUCAAUAGAAAGAUAGACGAUGGACUAAAAGAAAACAUCAAGAAAAAAAGUCUCCAUCUGAUAGAUGCUAAAGAAUUAGAGACGAUCAUGAGUGAAGGAUCACCAGUUUGGAUGCUUGCUGCAAGAAAAGUUCGUGAGGACUCUAAGGUGGAUUAUCUUAAGUGGCUAGCCUUCUUAGUGAGUUUCAUGAUGUCUUUCCUGAGGAUCUCCCACAUUACUUACCGUCUAUGAGAAAUAUUCAACAUGCCAUUGAUUUAGUUUCUGAAUUUAUCCUACCCAACUUGCCUCAUUAUAGGUUGAACCCUACUGAGCAUGUCGAGCUACAAAGACAAGUUGAAGAGCUGAUAAAAAAAAGAUUUGUGAGAGAGAAUUUGAGUCUUUGUAUGGUUUCUGCACUAUUGACUCCAAAGAAGGAUGGUACAUGGAGGAUGUGCAUAGAUAGCCGUGCCAUUAAGAAGAUCACUGUAAAGUAUUGCUUCUCUAUCUCUAAGUUAGAUGACAUGCUAGAUAUAAUGGUCAGAGCCAUUAUUUUUUCUAAAAUUGAUCUUAAGAGUGGUUACCAUCAAUAAGGAUUAGAUCGAAAGAUGAGUGAAAAACUAUUUUUAAGAUGAAAGAUGGUUUAUAUGAGUGGAUGGUGAUGUCAUUUGGAUUAUCUAAUGCUCUUAGUACUUUCAUGAGGUUGAUGAUCCAAGUAUUAUGAUCAUUUAUAGGAGUGUUUGUAGUCAUAUACUUUGAUGACAUUUUGAUCUAUAGUUGAACUAAGAAAGACCAUCUAGACCAUCUCCGAAAAGUGUGCCAAGUUCUUAGAACAGAAAGCUUGUAUGCUAAUCUUAAAAAGUGCACUUUCAUGACAGACUGUAUUAUCUUUUUAGAUUUUGUUGUUAUCUCCGAUAGUGUGUCUACCAAUUUUGAAAAAAUUAGAGCAAUAGUUGAAUAGUCGGUACCCAAGAGUGUGCAUGACGUGCGAAGUUUUCAUAGAUUAGCAAUCUUUUAUUGUAAGUUCAUAAAAUGGUUUAGCACUAUAAUCAUUCCCAUCACUGACUGCAUUAGAAAGGAAGAUUUUGAAUGGACUAGGACAGCCAAUAGAACUUUCCUAGAUAUUAAGGAUAAGAUGACCCAUGGCCCAGUCUUACGUCUACCUGAUUUUUUCAAAAUUUUUAAAAUAGCAUGUAACGCAUCAGGAGUUGGGAUUGGUGGUGUCCUUAGUAAAGAAGGCCAUUCGGUAGCAUAUUUUAAUGAGAAACUUAACGAUUCUAAACUCAAAUAUUCUACCUAUGAUAAGAAGUUUUAUGCAGUAAUCCAAGCUUUAAGAUAUUGAAGACAUUACUUAUUAUCGCAAAAAUUUAUUUUGUACCCUGAUCAUGAGGUCCUCCAAUUUUUGAAUUCUCAAAAGAAACUGAGUCAUAGACACGGUAGGUGGAUCGAGUUUUUGCAAGUCUAUACUUUUGUUUUGAAAUACUGUGCAGGUAUAGAGAAUCGUGCUGCUGAUGUCUUGAGUCGUUGUCAUACUUUACUGUCUACCAUUAGUAUAGAAGUUGUUGGUUUUGAUAAGGUUAAAAAAAAUUAUGAGGAGUGUCUAGAUUUUGGUGACAUACUUACCGCUUUACGUAAAGAGCCAUCUAGAGAAUAUGGUGAAUACAUCCUUCAGGAUGGUUAUCUAUUUAGAGGAACUAGGCUGUGUAUCCCCCGUACAUCUUUAAGAGAUUUUUUAUUUUGAGAAUUGCAUGUUGGAGGAUUAGCUGAAUACUUUGGUAGGAAUAAAAUCAUAGAGUUGGUAGAAGCUCAAUUCUUUUGACCAAGCUUGAAAAGAGAUAUCAUUCGAAUUAUUGUCCAGUGUAGAACGUAUGCCGUGGCCAAGCAGAGAAAACAAAACAUCGGCCUAUAUACAUCCCUAUCUAUACCGGACUGUCUUUGGCAAGACGUUAGUAUGGAUUUUGUUUUGGGAUUACCUAGGACAACUAGGAAGCAUGAUUUUGUUCUAGUGGUUGUAGAUAGAUUUUCAAAAAUGGCUCAUUUCUUAUCCUGUUGCCAAACAUCCGAUGCGUCGAAAGUUGUAAGGAUAUAUUUUGAUGAGAUUGUUAGACUACAUGGAUUGCCUAAAACUAUUGUGUCUGAUAGGGAUGUUAGAUUUAUGAACUACUUUUGAAAAAUCCUAUGACACCUUCUAGACACAAAACUAAAAUUAUUUUCUACCUAUCAUCCACAAACAAACGGUCAGACCGAAGUGAUCAAUAGGAGUCUUGAAAAUCUGUUGCGUUGCUUGAUUGAAGAACAUAUGGGUAACUGGGAUUUUUUACUAUCCCGAGUCGAAUUUGCAUAUAAUAGCUCUGUUAGUAGGUCUAUUGGCAUGAGUUCUUUUGAAGUAGUUAAUGGAUAUCAACCUAGAAAACUAAUAGACCUCAUCCCACUGCCCAUGCAUGCUAGGAUUUCUGAAUCUGCAGAAUCAUUUGCAUAGCAUGUCAAGAGUAUGCAUAAAGAGAUCAGUAAAAAAAAUUAGCAUUAGCAACAAAGUUUAUAAACAGAAUACAGAUUCUCAUCGACGUGCCCAAGAGUUUGCGGAGGGAGACUAUGUAAUGGUUCGAUUGAGGUCGAAACGGUUCCCAUCUGGAACCAUGAAGAAGUUACAUGCCCGAAGAGUAGGUCCAUUUAAGAUCAUAAAAAAAAUCGGACCAAAUGCGUAUAUUGUGGACUUCCCUUCUGAUUUUGAUAUUAGUUCUACUUUUAAUAUUACAGGUCUCGUCACCUAUAAAGAGCCAACUUGGAUACUUAGUGAGCCGUUUGAGCUUGAACCAACCUUUGGGAGCGAAUCUGUCCAUGAAUGUCCACCAGCCAAAAUAUCAACAAAAUACAAUCAGAUUGAGAGAAUUUUGGACGAGCAGAUCCUUUCCACCCAGAGUCGAGGCUAUCAGCGGUAUUUGAUCAGAUGGCAAGGUCGAUCGGAGUCUAAAGAUAUCUGAAUCACUCGAGAAGAGCUGCAGCGCAUUAAUUCCGAUCUGUUUGAGCAUCACCAGAGUAGAAUCGAUCCACACUCAAUAAGAUCGAGUUCUCCCCACUUCAGGAGAAUUGAUGCGGACAUCAGAGUCAUCAGAAGUCGGCGACAUAAUUUAGAUUCGUUUUGGAUCGAAGAAGUCCCAUUAGAUUGACUCUACUUUAGUUAUUUAUUUUCAGUCAAUAAAUUUUUGAUGCAUUUAGUUUUGGGUCCAUAGGGUCAUACUUGGGUUUGUAUUGGGUUUGUCCACGUCACUUUUGAAACCACCACUCUCCACAUGCCCAAAGAAGAAAUAUGCAUGUCAGCAUAUGCCAUGCUCAAGGAUUCUCAUGCCAAGUUAUGCCAAGCAUCAAGCGUCCAUAUGAAGUUCUAUUUUUUUCCUAAGAUUCCUUAAGAAUUCUUGACUACUUACUUUAUUGAAGGCUGAUUUCUUUUCCAUGGUAGAUUACUUUAUUUGAAAAUCAGACAUAAUGCUUUAUUUUUUUGUGUGAGGGCUAAUUUCUUUUUUGUAAAAGAUAAAGGAUUUCUAAAGAAAUAGGACCCUUAGGGUCUUAUAUAAAUCUUUGUAUCUUUCAUGAAGAGAGUAAUGAAUGAUUUUACAAAUCUUUCAAAUACUUGUGUCAAUCAUUCCGAGAGGAAGAGGGUGUGAGAUCCAAAAUCACCUCACAAGGAGAGGAUGUGAGGUCCACUUUCUAUCUUAUUCUUUUAACUUUCAUCUACUUAAGAUCUAAUAUUCCUACGAUCCCAAUUCGACUCCACCAUCUACCCAUGCAAGCCUAUCCCAUCAAGAAAAGAUCCAUCUCUUUCAAAAUUUUCAUCUAUCGUGCUGAGAGAAAAGAAUGAUCUCUUAUUCUACAGAUUAUAUGCUGUCAAGGAUUUUUGUUCUUUCUCAAUUGAUUUUUGAUUUUUAUUUUUUUAUUAGAUUCGACGUUGGUAAAGAUCUUGUUCUUUAUCGACAGAUCUGUUUGGUUAAAGAUUAAAGGUCCUAAUCAGAAUAAUUUUUUAACUAUCACGAUCCAAAUUUGUCAUCUUUUCAGAUUUUCUCACAGAUUUAAUAUUUUAUUAUCUUUCAUUUCAUUCAUAUUUUUUUGUAUUUACUCAUAAACAUGUUUAAUUUUUACUAUCUGUUUAUGAAUUUUCAUAUUGCUAGUUGUUUACUGAUCUCUAGAAUGAUAUUCAUCUGCAUCAUUUAGCAUCAUUUAGAUUGAUCUCGUUUGGAUCUCGUAUCAAUCAAUCACGCCUUCUGAGCAGAGUAUAAGCAACUAUACCAUCUGUUCUGAAAAUAAUGAUACUUCUGAUCAGACGUGAUUCAUUGUUGAUGAACAGAAAAAAACUUGAUCAUUAGCAUUGAUUUUUCUCUUUUCUUUACGAUUGUCCCGCAUCAAUAUCUAGACUGACCAUAGGUAUGCACAAAUUGAGUAGGGUUCAUUUUUCUCGCAACAUUUGAUUUAUUGCAUUGAAGUUUACGAAGAAAAAGAUCAUAUUUCAUCCUGCCGGUUUGUUGCCUGAAAAAGUUUUAAUAUUUCGAAUGAUUUCCUUUUCAUCACAAUUUGCUUGAUGAUGCGAUUACAUGGUCUUGAUGAAGUGGUAGUCAGCAUAACCAGAAUCCAAGAUUUGACUUUAUACAUAAUUAGAACCAAAGUGACUUCUCUUUUUAAUAUUUGAUGCACAAGGCAGAGAAAUCAGUAUUUGAAAAUGUCUGAUGCCUGAGUUCACGGUGGAUUGAAAAGGGCGUUGAUCGCCCGUGGAUUAAAAGUUGUAUGGUUGCACUUCCUGAAAGUAAAUGGGUAUUUCUCAAAAGCGGCUACUUGUGUGUUCUGUUUUCAAAAGACGCGUCUUUUUAAGUUUUGCAGAAGAAGCUCUCUAAAUUUUCAACCCAACCGUGCUUUGCCAUACCUAUCUCUGGACAACCUCCCGAGGCUGAGAGGGAACAUGCAACGCCUGAGGGAAUUUUGCCAAAUUCCAGCAGCAGUCAACCUCCCAAACCAAUUCACGGAGUCACACAUCACGUGAGCCUUAUUGCCACCAUUCACGUCCCGCCUCACGCUUCCCUGUUCUCUAGCUUUUGUCCAUCUCUAUCGCAUCACUUUUCAUAGAUCAUAGACAAUAAAAUUUGUUGGAGGCUUGCUUUCAAGAAACAAAAAAAAGAAGCAAAAGAGGGAGAAUGGUUGUUCAAGAGAGAGAAGAAUCUCAAAUUCUUUUAAUAGAGAGUUUUUAUAAAAAAAUUAAAAUACUGAUGACAUUAUGUAAAAAAUUAUAUGAUUAUAGUUAUUAUAUAAAAAUUGAUCAUAGAUGUCUAUGCUAUUUUGAUAUCAAAAAUUAUUUUAUAUUGAUAGACUUAUUUAUAAAUUUCACCAUAUCUCUAUACAUGAUUAUUUUCAAUCAAAUAUAAUAAUUUUUUUAUAUUAUCAUUUUUCAGAGUAAUACCUUCACCAACCAAAUGUGCUAAAAAUUAUAGAUAAAUGAUUCACAAAAAUUAUUAGAUUACAGGAUAUAUUCCGACCAAAUGGAUUCUAAAUAGAUUUUUUGAAAGCCAUAUAUAUAUAUAUAUAUAUCCUAAAUAGAUGAUGCCCCAAAAUUCCAUGCAUAUAUUUGAAAAGGCGAUGUGUAUACGUUAUAAACUUUUAGCACAUAAAUUUGAUAUGGGUGAUCCACACAUGCCCUACUGGGAUAAACACGUUUAAAUAGAUGACGCGUUCAUUGGAUAAUGCCCUGUGAUGCGCACAUUCUAUGAUAUUAAACUUUACAAGCAUAAAACAACUAAUGAAUAUGUUAAAAGGACUGAUGCAUAUGUAUGAAGUGAAGGAUUCACGUACUUAAUUGUUAGUCCACACAUUUUAAACAUUUAUUUAUUUAUUUUUAGAAGGGGAGUGAUAACCGGUAUGAGCCUUGAUUCUUGAUUCACGUCCUCCUCAUCUCUGGCGUUACCGAAAGAGGUCUUUCAGCAUGUCGACCGCUUGGGACACGGACAUGUGAUUACAAAAUAUCAUGACGAGAAGAAACACUAAGGCUUAUUUGAGGUUCUAAUACUUCCAAAGUGAAAUUCGUUAUCUUUUUUUAAUUAAAAAAUGAAUUGAGAGGUUGCAAGGAGGAGAUGUUUGAUUGCUAUAAAGAUCUGAGCGAUAAAGGAAACAUGAGACAAAUGAGAAAAAAUUGCAUCACAAAAAUUCUGACAAGUAUGGUAAAACCAGAUUCCUCAUAUUGGGAAGUUGUGUUUUUGAAUUUUGAAUUAAAACAUGAAAAUUAGGCUAUAUUCCAGAAACAAAUGGAAGGAAAAAAAAAAAAGAAGAAAAUUCUGUAACUAAAUUUUUUUAAUCAAACACAGUAAAUUUAGAUUUCUCACAUUGAGAAGUUUCAUUUUAGAAUUUUUAAAACACAGAAACCAAGCUAUAUCCUGAUGCUAGUACUCUUUUGUAUUCGGAGUAAUGCUAGAGAAUGCAUCAUAUACACAUAGAAAGUUGCCUGGGCCGGGCCACGUGGCCCUAAUGCCAUUUUUUUGAUCAAUCAAUCACUUCUCUCGUGUUUGGUAUUAAUUACCAACCCCUAAUGCCACGUGGAAAAGACGAUGCAUACACUAUUUUUUGAUGAAUAUUCGGGACUUAAACCUUGAACCUCCUAAGUUUGCAUUUGAUACGUUGCCAAGCGUAACAUCGAUUGCCUAAGAUAGAUUGCUAUCAUUAAAUUGUCAAUACUAUUGAUUAUUGUGUUUAGCAUAUGCAGAUAAUGUUACAGUAAUAUUACUGAGAAUCUUAAUUGAUAUGUUUGAUAUAGCAAUCAGAUUAAGAAUAAUAUGAAAUUAAAAUUUCAAAAUACUCCUAGUAACUUUGCCUCCAGUGCUCUUUUUUCUCCCCGGCCCUCCAAUCCUCUUGCAUUAAUGACCUCGCUCUCCUCUCCUGCGUCGGCCUCCGCCCUAUCCUCCUCCAUGACGAUGGCCCAGAGAUCAACUCUUGGCUCCUCCACCUCAGCAACUAGCCUCAUUUCCACAAUGGCCUCCACGUCACGAACGACCUCACCAUGGAGAUAGUCGAGAUGGUUCUCGUCGGCAAGGCAAAUAAGUCCCUCUUCUCUCAUCAAUCUUGCCGGCGCCACCGCCAUGGGCCUCUUCAGCAAGGACAUCCGACUCCUCACCGCUCGCCCUGUUCUAGAUGCCGCAGCCCUUAGCUUUGUCAAUGAGGUGGCCGACAUUGACCCCACCAUCCUAUGACCCAUCCUGAUGGACAAUCACAUCCCCAUCAUCGCUUCCGUGGCCACAGGUGAUGUCGGGCAUGACUACAAUGUGAAAACGGAUAUUGUCGUAAGGGAGAUUGUGACCGCCAUAGGGGUGGAGAAGCUGAUCGUGAUGAUGGAUGUAGCAAGGAUCUUGAUGGAUCGAAACGACCUGAGGAGCCUGAUGAAGGAGAUGGACAUCAACAUGGGAGUGGUGGGGAUGAACGCGAAGGAGCCACAGAAGGAUGAUGGAGGAUGAGUGUGGAGGAGCUACGGAUGAUGCUGGAGGAAGGGACGAGAGGGUUGGACGACAGAUUUUGUAUGAUUCUGUUUGAGGGAUAAUUUUAUCUAAAUAUUUUAUUACAACAUUAUCAAAGAAAUGAUAAUCUGGAUAGUCAACUGUUCUCAAAGCUAUAUAGAUUGUCUUAUCGACAAUAUAGAUUGCUCAGAUAAUUUAGAUUGCCAUCCGAAAAAUAUACCUAUAUGCCCACUUUAAAUUACAUCCAGAUUGCUAGCUACCAAACAUGACCUAAAUGAUAAGUUCUUAGGGCUAUGGUGCUAGCCAGCUAUGCUAAUAAUUGUAGAUAGUGAUACAUAUAUUUGAAGCACACAACUCUCUUGUACUCAAUUUCAAAUGAACUAAUACAAAUGAUGCAUUUAUUUUGUAGAGGUGAUGCACUCAUUUAAAGACUAUUGAUGCGCAAAAUAUAAGAUAAUAAAAAGUUAAAUUAGAUAUUUUAAAUAAUUGAUGCAUUUCAAAUUGAUGACACAUACAUCUAAAAUAAAAUCUAUAACAAUACUCAUAUUAUAAAAUACCAGAGAGAGAGAAAGAGAGAGAGAUGGUGAUGGUGGACGGUUAUCGAGAUCGUGGUCAGUUAUGGAUAGUGAUGGAUAUCAUCGAUGCCUUAGGUGGUGAUGGAGAUUUUCGAUGGUGUAUAGGCACGAUCGUCUAUAAUAAAAAACAUUGAUGGAGAUUGAACGCAGUGGUUAAUAAUGGUAAAGAUCAACGAUGUUCUUUUUUCCUUUUAUCGAAAACCAUAUCCUUCCUUUUUUUUUUCUUUUUUUAUUUUUACAUUUAUUUUCAUCCCACUCACUCUCUCUUCUAUCCAUCAACUAUGGCAAGGAGUAUUUCAGUCAAUAAAAGAUCAGAAUGCUCUUUCCUAAGUAGCCAUUUUUAUGAGAUGCCCAAGGCAAAACUAAUAAAAUUUUUACCUUUGAGAGAUGCUUGACAGACCGCAACAAGCAGAUAUUCUGGAAUUUUGUUAUUUAGAUCUGAUCAGGCAGUCUCUAAAUAAUUGGUCACUGCACCAUAUGAUACAAGCUCAUGGCUACCUUUUGAUAUGGUAUACUGGUGUACAGGAAUGACAACAAGAACCAAAGGUGUUGAAUAUUACUUCGAGGUUCUAGAGGCAACUUCACGUCACUAUCGGACCGCAUAUAUCAGUGGGCAUAGGAAGCAUAUUGGAAUUGAUUUAUUCAUGCGGGAAUAUAUGAAUGGGUGGUUAUCUUUUGAGAUGCAAUGUCAGUGGAAUAUGCUUCUGUUAGAUUUUUCUUUUUGUCUAGUUUCCUUGUUGAAAUGUGAUAAUUUUUUUACUUAAUUUGUUUGGAGAAUAUUUAGGCUAGUAUGUCUAAUUGUCUAUGGAUAUGGUUAGCACUCAGCACUUCUAUGGAAUAACUGCCUGAUUAAGAGUACUUUUCACGCGCACUUACUGAAGCCUUAUUUUAAGAACUAACCCGCCACUGCAAGAGAUCAAGAUGAGGAUAAACUACAGUGACGUUACAAUAAGAAAGAAUGAAGACCAUGAGAGGGCAGGUUCUCCUCCGUACUCUAGCAAAGAAGGCAUAGAACAGUUUUUUGAAACAAUGAGAUCCUAAGUAAGACAAAUCCAGAUAUGCUUGCUACCGUUGAAUGCCUUGAAGGACAAGGUUCUCCAUUCAUGUUCUCUUCUAAUUUCUUUUCCAUUGAGCAUUUCCAGUUGCUUAUUCUCAUCUCUGUUUUGAAAUAGAGCAUGUGUAUCUGCAUGGAUUUGUCUUGCUCCGGUUCUAGUUCAUGUUAGCUUGGGAUGUUUAAAGGUAGUCCUGCACGGAUUCAUCUUGCUCUGGUUCUAUUCGCAACACUACGUUUCGGAUCUUCAGCAGGUCUAUAGGUAGAAAUUGAUCAUUUACUCCCAGAUACCUUAUCACUCCCUUUUUAGUCAUUCUAGUUACAUGUGAAUGCAAAAAAUUAGGGAUAUAAAACAAAUUUUAUUAAUAUUUUAUCAAUAUUUUUUUAAUAAAAAAUACAUGCAGCAUUCUAGUUACUUUUCAUGCACAAUAAUAGACUGAUUUAAUGGUGGACACUGAAGAAAGACUUAAAGUGACUCAUCAAAACAAGGAAGAGUUAAAGCAGCUAAACAUACCUUUUAUUGCGAUGGCACAUUCCUUCAACAAUAUUCAUCGAACAUCUGAGGAAGUAACUGCAGGAACUGUUUCAUAUCCUCCAGACCUUUUCUUCCAAGGAAGAAAGAAAGUACCACCAAAUCGUUGCUGCAAGUAUAUGAGCCCUGAAAGUAGCACUCCUGUGCAAGGAAUGAUGAUAUCCCAAGCUAAGGAAUAGAAGUCUUCAUUUGGACUGGCAUAUAUAUAGGAUGAGUUGAGAAGGGGCACAUAAUGACCAGCCCUAUAAGCAUCAUACACAUGAGGCAGUGCCCGAAUCGCAGUGAUUCCAACAUAAAAGGAUGGGGCAAGAGCCUUAUCCUUAGAGCUUGAGAAAAUGUUGAAGAUAACUUGAGGCAGCAGAAAUCCAUCAAAAAUCAAUCCAGCAUACGAUACUAGAUUUUCCCAGAAUGAAUGAUGGUUUGCAGCAGUCAAAAGUGGCUGUCGGUGUGAAGUCUGAUUACUGUUCACGCGCAUAAACCAAGCAAUCAGUCCCCCAGCCAGAUACAAAGGCAAAUAAAUCUGAAGAGCUUGCCUCUCAGCCAACCACAGGUCCCUUUUGCCCUCAUCUGCUGAUCUUGCAGUCCAUGCAACUUGAAGAAAACGCAACUGCAAUAGGAAAGCUACCAUCGUUAUGACUCUUACUAUAACCUCGUUAACCUCAAGCCACCCACCUCUCCACGAUAACACAUUCUGCUUGUUACGGCUCAUGAACAAAGCCUCAAAGUUCAGAACCAAGGGAAACAUGUAGCCCAAAGUAAGAAUGACAAGCAUUGCCAUAGAUAUGGUAGGAAGCACUUCUGGAUUCUUCACCGCAUGCAAGAGCUGCAACCCAAUGAAAAUACAUGAAAGCGUGAGAGAAAUCAGAACCAUUGUAAUUUCUAUUUUCCUUCUCCAGAUUGACUCAAUUGCUCGAUUCCUGUUCAUUCCCAUUGGCAUAAUCUCUAAAGGUUCAAAGAAAAGUGGGUCUGACUUGUCUCUUGUGCUCCUAAUCGUGCCCGAAAGAUGGUCACCAUCCUUCGGAUUCAAGGGAGCAAGCUGGAUACUGAUGAGAAUACCACAGUCCACCGCGAUGCCAGUUUUCUCUUGUUUUUCAACCACUGAGGAAUCCAGAUACCUACAACCCACCAUGCAGAGCGACCCUGUUUGAGCAUCAUAUACUCCUUCUGCUGAGAUCUCUGUUGGCAUGCUCAUAUAUGAAGAUGAACCGGAAAACAUAAAAUUUAUCUUGUAGCUCACAUUCUGAAGGCUAUGAUUUGUCUCUUUCACUGCAGGCAAAAGCUCUGGGUUCCCUCCAUCAUCAAAUGUCUCACCAAUUGACACUGGCAUUGCAGAACCCCUUGUACGCUUUCCCUCAGCAUUUCUCACGGAAAUAUAAAAUCUAAAAUCUUCGAAAUACUUCAAAACAGGGUAUUUCUUUUUACUCAAAUUCCACAAACUGCCCUUUACACAGGACUUACUCGCCGCAUCUAUCUUAGUGUAGUUAUAUUUCAUUCCAGGAACUGGAAGAGUAGUCCAAUCCUUUUCAGUGUUCCGGAAAAAAACUGUGUCGAAGUAACCAGAAGCAUUCUCAUUUUGGUCACUCCACAUUCGCCCAGCAAUGGUAUUCCGACUCUCAAUUGACCACACUGCAGGGAACCAAAAGCUCAUCCUAAUUGUGCAAUCAUCAACAGACAUAUUCACUGCUAAGGAAUUGCUAGAAAUCACUUUACGGCAAGCAACAAGGCAGAGCCUAUUCCUCUUUCGAUCCCAAACACCCUCAGCAACCAAUGUCUUCUCAGGCACCAAAAGUCUCCUAUGUUCGAAGCUAGUGUCGUUGGAGAAUUCUACAUACAUAUGUAAUUUCCCAUCAUCCAAACACUGGAUUAGGUUCAAAGACAUAAAUUUUAGGGAAAACCCUAAACUUUUAGUUAAAGGAACACAACGUCCACUGGAGCAUUGGCCUCCAUACUCCAUCACAAAUGGCCAUCUCAAAUACCUCUGGAGAUUAGUGCAAAUGGAACCAGAAUCAAGCCCUAAAGACUCCUCCUGAUCAUUCACCCUGGAACACGAUUUCUGAGCCGGGGAGACCUGCGUGAACUCAUACUUAUUCUGAGCAUAGGCUAUAACCGAAAUGGGAUCGAAGUGAUUUGAGCUGUUAUCAACGUCCAAGCUCUCCAAAGUCCCACUAACCAGACUAGAAGAAAUGUUCGAGAUCUUCGGGUAGUUGAGCUUAAAAAUAGCAGUGAUGGAGAGAAGUUUACCUUCUCCCAAGCGUCCAUGGCCAGCUCCCACCAUGCAGAGCUUCCCCACGUCCUCAGACCAGAAGCCAUGGAGAUCAAUGGUAGCGCGAUCCUUCAGUGCCAAGGUCCUGGGAAACCGCGGCCGGAUUCGGUGGAGCAGGGAGCGGCCCUCGGUGAGAUUCCGGCGGGUGACGCGGUGCCACCUACCGCGGAUGAUUAGGGUUCCGCCGACCCGGAGAACGCCGGGGAACCGGUCCGGGUCGAGCGAUUUGGCAUGGAAGUAGAAGGACGUGGUGACGGGGAAGGGGGCGUCGCGGUCGUCGCCGAACAUCCGGUGCCGGCCGGUGAAGAAACCGUUCGAGAGCCCGAGGGCGCCUGGGAAGUCGACGAGGAAGUUCUCCGGGUCGGAUUCGGGAACGAUGGAGCCGCAGUGGUCGGCGUAGGAGAUGUCGGCGGCGGCGGAGGAGGAGACGGUGGAGGAAGGGAAGAGGGCUGCUAGAAAGAGAAGGAUCCAUGGGCGAGGGAUCGAAGGGACCCUAACAGUCGCCCAAGAAUUCUUGGGGGGCGGGGAAGGAGGCAGCGAGAGAGUCGCCAUCGGCAAGCGUUUUGGACAGGGCAGCGUUCUUUGGGACUAAUAACGAGAAUACCACUGCCUUGCCGUACUGGCCCAAAAGAAACAGCCGUACACCAAGGAAAAAAAUGGUGGGGUUUUUUUUUACGAAAUCCAAGAGUCCAAGACUAUUCGAUUGUUCAUUUGUUUGUUCUGUUUCAUUCCCGCAGCAAUAAAGCAGCAAUAAAGCAUGCAAUAAAGCAUGCAAGUAGGAAGAGAUUUUCCAGCACCAGCUUUAGGCCAAGAUUUAGGUUUUCAUCAUGAUCGACGUAUUAGUUUAUGUCAGUAUCAAAAACUCAUUUGAUGCAGUAUAAUUUACAUCUCAAACUAUAACCUCAAUCAAUGUAAAUUUUUUUAACUCAAAAUAUUAUCCAUAUAUUAUCAAAAAUCAUGCAAUUUUUUAAUCUUAUUUAUUAUUUUAAAUUAAUAUUCUCAAGGUAUGGUAUUUAAGAAGUGAAGACCGAAACUAAAUUUUCCCUUCGGACCUCCUUGCUAUGUCCAAUGAACUAAGAUUUGGAAAUGGGAGCUGAUAGAUUUCCAUGUUGUUUAAUACUUGAUAUCAAUUUCAGAAUCUGUUGGAUAUGGUAGACCAAAAAAGACAUCCACAUUUUAACAAUUAGAUAUUUACAACAUAUUUAGUUGGGAAGAAUUGAGCUCCAAACGAGAAUAAACAUGACUUCUAUUUCAAUUAUUUGUUCGAUAUAGUUCAUUCUGAUUUUAAUUUUGAAGGGAAUGAGAAUGCUAUAAUGCUCCAAAAUUUAAUACUGAAACUAUCCAACGGAACAGCACUGCAACUUGAAACCAUCCAAAAUUUUGAAAAAGUAUCCAUGGAAUAAUUUUGGAAAGUAUCCAUCGUGAUAGAAUAAUUUUGGAUAGUCGUAAGGGGCAGGGACAGCAGGGAGGGCGUAGACCCUCAAUGGAUUCCAAUGGGGAGAAAGAUAAUAGCUAGCCGUAUGAGUGUAGAACCUGUGGAGGAAGAAUAGCGAUUGCCUAUGACAAACAAUGCACUGCUUCUCUUUUUUUUGAAUUUUUUUCAUAGUCUUAAGCUGUAAACAAGAGGAGCAAGCAUUAGUUAUCCAAUCAAAUCAUGCCGACUUAUGGUCAGCAUAUACCUCGAUCAAAUCAUAUCGACCUAUAUAUUUAUUAUAAAUAGCUGAUUUAUGAUAUUCAUCUUAGUCUCCCUAGCGCCUUCAGUCUGUAAGUCUAUGACAGUUCUAGUUCUUUUGCAAUCCAUCCAGUUCUUAAGGCAAGCCCUGCCAGUCCUAAUAGAAUCCCCUCUUUCUGCUAGUUCAGUGAGAUAGCUAAAAAAUAUCUUUCAGUAUUUAAAUAUUAUUCUGAUUUUGAUUCUAAUUUCAAUUAUAAACUAAAUAUAUUGAAAAAUAUGAGCAUUCUGAAUUAAGGUUGGAAUUGAGCUUGAACCGGCCCAACUUCGUGUCACUAUAGCCCAAAUAAUAUCAAGUUGGAUUUGGGCUUGGAUAUAAAGCACAUUCUUUUUUUUGAGUCAAGCUUGGAUAUACCGUUGGCAUAACCUAAGUCCAGCCUGAGCUAAAAUUCAAACCUGAUCCCCAGCUGGAUUUCAGGCACAAGUUUAGCUCAAUGGGUCUAGCUCAUCACCGUGCAUAGAAAUAUUCAUGGACAAUAGUGACCUUUUCAAUUUCAGCCCAAAAGUUCAUUUUUAUUUACGACUUCUCAAAUUAUUUUAAGUCGUUGAGCAAGAGAGAGGAAAGAAGAAAGACAGGGAGCAAGUAAUCGCUACAGAGAGACUUGUUGCUUGGAUUCUCAAGCACCCAUACCCAUCCAAUAGCCCAUACUCACAUCCAUCUCCCUUUUUCCCCGGCCUUCGCCACGGCGACCCGUGACCUCGACUAUUUGGUCCUUGCCGUCAAUGGCAAUGAGGAGAGCAUGAACACCCUCUGAUGGGCCCUCCAAAACCUCUAUUUCUAACGCACCAGUAAUGACCCUAUUGUUGCUAGCAAGGCUUGGAGUGAGCCCAGCACCUACAUCAUUCUCCACAUCUAGUCCCCACCUUCCAUCACCACCGGCCUCAACCCCAGAUCUAACCCCUUCGAUGGUCCCAGUGCAAGGCAAGCCAGGUGAAUCAGGGCCUGCUCAAUUUUUGCCCCCAAGGGGAGUUGGCCCAAUUAGGUUUGGGCCAAGCUUGGGCUUGCAUUUUCCAAAAUAAUUAAGUCUAAGCCUAGCCUAAAACCCUUCCAAAAAUAAAUAAAUAAAUAAAUUUCAGGUCAAGCUCGAGUAGAAAAAUGGCCUGAUCCGGUUCGGCCCAAUUCUAACCCUAAUUCUGAUUCACUUUCCAAUCCAUUUCAAUUCUGAUUUGAAUCAUAACCAAAUGAAUUCUUAAAUUAUCAUCUUAAAAUAAUAAAAAAUUAGAUUUAAAAUAUUUAUGAUAAAUUUGUUAUCCCGCUUCCAAGGUCGCAGCAUAGAUCCUUAUGUAUCUAAAGGUUUCUUUUAAAAAUAAAUAAAUAAACAAAUAAAGCAAGCUAAACCAAAAGUUCAGUCCAUCUCAAGCUCAGCCACUCACCUAGAUCGUCAAAUCAACAGUUGCUUAAAAAAGCUGGCUUUCUCCCAAAUAGAGCAUGAGAAAGUCUCUUUUUUUUUUUUUUUGGUUGAAACAAUGUAGAAAGUACUCUUUGNNNNNNNNNNNNNNNNNNNNNNNNNNNNNNNNNNNNNNNNNNNNNNNNNNNNNNNNNNNNNNNNNNNNNNNNNNNNNNNNNNNNNNNNNNNNNNNNNNNNNNNNNNNNNNNNNNNNNNNNNNNNNNNNNNNNNNNNNNNNNNNNNNNNNNNNNNNNNNNNNNNNNNNNNNNNNNNNNNNNNNNNNNNNNNNNNNNNNNNNNNNNNNNNNNNNNNNNNNNNNNNNNNNNNNNNNNNNNNNNNNNNNNNNNNNNNNNNNUUUUUUGGUGAAACAUGAGAAAGUCUCUUUGAACGACAAGGCUCUCUCCCAGUGUUCGUCUGUUGUAAAGCAUUAUGUAAAGUUGUUGAGGUGAUGCUACGUCCAUUUAGCACUACUGUACCUACAAUUAUAAACCAUUUAUUUAUCAAUCUCUUAGCUCUCAGGUUCAAACUGUUUUCUAAAAGGAAAAAAUAAAUCGAUCUGCUUCUAGCAUACAGACAUGAAAGGCACCAACAACUACGAUUCCCUUUAAUACGAUUAUAAAUUUUUGAUACAAAAUACCACUUGUUAAGGUUAGAAAUACAUUGUUAGCCUUUUUCAUUAAUUUAUCAGCGUGGUACUAAAGCUCAAGUUUGUUAGUUUAUAAGUAUGAAUCCCUUAUACGCUAGAAUUCUUCUUCUUCUUUUUUUUUUUUGUACCUGGUUGUCAUACUGCUUCUGUUUUAAUAUCCAUAAGUAUGAUUACAUAAAAGCAGGUGAGGAGAGUUAACACUCGUAUACAUUGUUGAUCUGUUCUCUAUAACUUAAGCUUUUAAAAUUGAUGGAUUUGUUAACAGUAUAAAACGUUUAAUUUUAGUUGGUAUUAUCAAUAUUGUCAUUAUUAUUGUUAUGUGGCAUUUAGUUUGAGAAUAAAGUAAAUAUAAGGUUUGGAAUAGUUAUUCAAAUCAAACUUGCUAACCAGCUAUAACCAUUCAAGGGGAAAGCUGUCAUAUACUAUUCCGAGUCUUAAAAUAAAAGGGAAAGUUGUCAUAAACAUGAGCAGCAAACUAACACCAAAUAGCAACCGAAGCUAGUAAAUUAGCAUUGGAGAUGUCAUCUGGGGAGGGGGAGAAUUCAAGUAAUAAACAUGGUGAUAUUUAGCAGGCACAUAUGUAUAUAUAUCUGCAGGGGCUAUAAUACUUCAUGCAACUCCCCAAAGAGAUUCAUAUAUUAAAUAAUUAGGGGCUUAAAGAAGGGUAGUGUAGGGUUGCUGGAGGAAGCGGCUUUCUUGUCAUGCAGGUCAGUUCUGCUUAUUUCUUGGAAGGAAAAAAGAAAAUUCUUCUUUUAAAACCUAACCAAGAUUGGUGCAUAUAAGCAAAAGAUGCAGAAAUAUCAACAGUUUCAGACCAGCAAACACAAAAACUCCUACUUAAAGUUACAAAAUGGCAACCCCAGUAUCACACUGGACAUAGAAUUCGGUGCACAGCAUUAUGAAUAGAAAGCAAACCCAUGUAGUUUACUGCUGUUUUGACAAAUAUUAUUUUGAUGUCUCUUCAGCAACAUGACCAGUCAUAAUUAAGUACACACUGGUUUUUAAACCGUUUUAGACACACCCAUAUCAGUACAAGUCUUAAUUUGUACCAGGAAAUUGAUUAACUUCAUCAAGAAACUGACUGCAAUCGAUCCCCCUUUCCAUGAAGGCCGCUACAAGCUUUGGGUAAAGCUUUGCAAGCAUGAUCUUGAAACCAUGGGAACAGUGCUUAUGACCUUCAUCUGCCACCUUUCCACAUUUGUAAGCAUGUCCAACCUGGGCACCAUCCAAAUAAGCUUUGCAGGCAACAAGAAUGUGAUGUGACCUACGAGUAAAGUGCUCCUCCACAAGUGCCUCGAAAUGCUGCAUUAGUUAUAAACAUAUGUCAGCUAAGUUCUAGGAGCUGCUGAAGCUACCAUGCAACCAUUUUAAAGGAUGAUAGCAGAAGCAGUCAUAUCUUCUAAAAGAUUCUUUACACUUUUAAAUACUAAUCCAUGUCAGAGAUGCCAGGCUACCUUAGGCGGCUUCUGCAAGAGGUAUAACAUUGACUUGCAUGACAAUAUAAAAGCAUUCUCAUUAUACGUGAUGGAAUUCUUCUCACCCUCAGCUCUACCCAUCUGUUUGUCAUAUCCGGCCUCAUUGAAAUAUGGUUUCUCAUUGAGAACAAGGGCCUGAAUCGAUAGCAGUACUUGAAGAAUGGUGGAGCUUUCAGGAUUCCAGACUUCAGUACCAGUACCCAUCCAUGUCUUGAGAAGGCUUAGACAGACCUUUCCCGACUCAUAUAAGUUCGGGUUCAACCGAAGCCCGCCAGAGUUGUAGUGAACCAGCUGCACAGAAAGAGCAGUUCCUAUUUAAUAAAGUGUUUUCUCUAAGAUUCAGGUCCAGUACAGUAUAUUUUUAUAGGCUUUCAUGUUAGUUCAUGAUAAUAUAGGCAACAAUGAAACUGCAUAAAUUAACCAAUUCCAAGUGGAUAAGACUAUGCAUUUGAAGCAUUAUACGUUGACUUGUGGGGGUAUUGCCCUACAAAGCAAGAGAUCAACUAGAACCUCUAACUGUUCUGUUCUACUUUAAUUCAGGGUAUCAGUCUUUAGCACAAUCAAUAUUCACCGAGGUUUAAGAUAUGAUGAAAAUGGCAUGAAUGAAUGGGACACAGUUUCUCAAAUCUUUGCUUUACACAGGACUCUUUUUUUGUGCAAUUUGAUGGAGUUCAGUGGUAAGGUGUGCUCCUGAUGAACCGUAUGAUGUUUUCUCAUGGAAAAAAGAUUACAGGAUUUUGCACUAAAAGCUAGUUUAAACUACUUUGGGUUUGAUUACAGAUGCAUAGCGCAUAUAAGGUCUAUUUGUUGCAUAUAUGCAAUUUGAACUAAAGAAUAUGAAAAAGAAAAUCAAAGAAUGAACCUGAAAAGGAACAUAUAGAAACAACUUCAUCCCAGUGAUUUUUAUCAUCAUAGUUAACCAGUACUCAGUGGAAAAACUAUUAGGGUAAAACAGAGUAUUUUGUUUAAUAUAAACGCAUGUUCCUUGACAUUUUACUAUUAACAUGUUUUGAGCAUGCAUGUAUUCAAGUUGAACCAGAUCAACUCUCAUUUUAGUUUCCCUGUAUUAUUUCUGCUUUAUUCCCAAUGUGUUCCUUGAGAUAUUUUACUGCUAACAUUUUUUUGAGCAUAUAAACAUUCUACUUGCACCAAAGCUUCUCUCAGUUUAAUAUUCCAUGUAUUGUUCUAACAUUUUAUGUUUAUUAAUUUAAAUGUGGAAAACCGUAGAGAAACUAUAAAAUCUCCUUCAUUAAUAUUUAAUCACAGAUACAUCCAGUCUAUGUCAGAUUUAUUUAUAUAUGUGUUCUUGUAUUAGAUUCAAAUACAUAUACCUGUCAUCUUC
rnacentral:lncRNA from 1 species